GAUAUAAAUACUUAGAAGCUUGUGCGCUCAUGCUAUAGAAAAUACCUGAAAAUGAGAUUGUUUUGCGCAAUGUAACUUCCAUGCUCAUAAUUAGUGUAUAUAAAUUUUAAAAUCCUGUAAAUAAAUAUUUAUUUUGUAAAGCGACAAUAAUAAAUAAAUAACAAUAAAAAUGAAUGUUAAUAAUAAUUAUAAGUAUAACUCUAAUAAAAUAAAUAUAAACAUAUUGAUAUGGGAGCAAAACAAUUACUAUAUCAUUAUAUUUUAUCAAGUAAUAUGUUUGAUGUAUUAAUUUAUUCUAGAAUACUAUGUUAAUAAUGGAGAUUCACAGAUGUUAUGUUAAUAAUGUAGAUUCACAGGUGGCACUUAUGCUCGAUUACAUAUUUUAUUUUAUUUUAAUAUCGUAAAUUGCAUAUUAUAUAUUUAUAAGAGUAUAUUACAUUAGAUAUAUUAUACACUAAGGGUGCGUUCUCUUUGGUUGUAAAUUUAUCAUCAGAAAAGAAAGGAUAAACAAAAUUUCAUCUUUUAAAUCCUUCAUUUCUUUUCCCACAUUUCCUACUUGACCCUUACUCAUUCCUCAUUUACACUACAAAUGAGGGAUAAUAUUACUCAUUCCUCAUUUCCUACCCCCCACAAUGGUCGGCCGGUGGAGUCUCCGUUUCGGCCGACUCAUCGGUCCCUUCGUCGGUGACAGUUGCUAUCUCGGUUACAUGCGUGUCCAGCGGGGCAUGCUCGGGUGCGCCGGUUAGCGCCUUGUUGUCGGGGAUGCUAUGCAUCACCGGGGGCGGGGCGGCGGCUUGUGCUCUUGGGCAUCGCGUACGUGAUGACGCGUGAGUGGUGUUUGACGUGUAUGGGCAUGUUGGAUCCCUGCUCGGGCAGCGACGACAUCUCCUCCGCGUCUCUUCAAUUUUUGGCGCGAGCGUUUGCUCGGCCGACGUCGGUUUCCUGUGCUGAAUACCUAUUGCGAUGGCAUUGUGUCGGCUACGUUUGUUCCCUUCCCACCUUGUUCCGCUGCUCCACGUGGGCGUGCGGUGCGGGGCGGGCCAAAUCGCACGCGUCGUGUGUCGUACCGCGUUCGCCCCUUGGGGGGUUCGGGUUGUCGACCCACGACGUGUUGCUCGGUCUCUCGGGUACGGUGCAUCAUGUGGGUACGAGGCCGUCGGCCUCCGAGCACCACAAUCAAGCGUUCUACGCUUCGUGCGAACGACCGUCGGUUCGGUCUUUGGCCGUGCUCUCGUAGCUCGGUUCAAGUCGGGCCGACGUCGAUGAGGAAUGCUACCUGGUUGAUCCUGCCAGUAGUCAUAUGCUUGUCUCAAAGAUUAAGCCAUGCAUGUGUAAGUAUGAACUAAUUCAGACUGUGAAACUGCGAAUGGCUCAUUAAAUCAGUUAUAGUUUGUUUGAUGGUACCUGCUACUCGGAUAACCGUAGUAAUUCUAGAGCUAAUACGUGCAACAAACCCCGACUUCUGGAAGGGAUGCAUUUAUUAGAUAAAAGGUCGACACGGGCUCUGCCCGUUGCUACGAUGAUUCAUGAUUAAAUCGACCAUACCUUAUACCUUACCUUUACCUCCGGUAUGGAGAAAAUUCAUACCUUUACCUUACCUUUACCUACGGUAUACCUUAGUUCGGUAUACCUUAAGUACGGUAUGAAGAAUAUACAAAACCUUUACCGUACCUUUAUUUCGGUAUACCUUACCGAAUUUCGGUAUACCGUACUUUCACGGUAUACCGCACUUUAACGGUAUACCAAAAUAAUCGGUAUUAUCAAAAUCGAAAAAAUUCAAUCGGUAUACCGCACUUUAUAUUCACAUACUUGUAUGCAUUCAUGUAAUAUAUAAUAAAUUAUAUAAAUGUUAUAAGUUACAUAUAAUUUAUAUGUUAGACGUAAUAUUAUUUAUAAUAUAUUACUAAUAUUAUAACUAUGUUAUUAUAUAUGUAACUAUUAUAAGUUAGAUGUAUAAUCUAUUGUAAAAUAAUAAUUUUAGUUAUAUAUUAUAACUAUACUAUAAUAUCAAAAUAAACAAUUUUAUUUUAUCGUAUGAUUUAUACUAUAUACUAUAUUUUAUUUAUUUUUGUAUCAUUUGAUGAUAUUUAUAAAUUCAUUACAAUUGUAUAUAUUCACAUAAUAUAGAUUAUAUACAUCUAUUUUAUUAAAAUUUAUAAAUAUUUUUAAAAAUAUAGACAAUAAAAAUAAAUAUUAUAUAUUUUAAAACUAUAGAUUUUUGAUACGAUAUAUACCGCGAUUUUCGGUAUACCAAUAUAUACGGACAACUGCGGUAUAUCAGAAUAAGGUAUUGUACCUUAUUACCGGUAUAUACCGAAUAUUAAGGUAUACCAGAAUAAGGUAUGAUACCGCAUCACCGGUCUUUGGCCGUGCUCUCGUAGCUCGGUUCAAGUUGGGCUGACGUCGAUGAGGAAUGCUACCUGGUUGAUCCUGCCAGUAGUCAUAUGCUUGUCUCAAAGAUUAAGCCAUGCAUGUGUAAGUAUGAACUAAUUCAGACUGUGAAACUGCGAAUGGCUCAUUAAAUCGGUUAUAGUUUGUUUAAUGGUUCCUGCUACUUGGAUAACCGUAGUAAUUCUAGAGCUAAUACGUGCAACAAACCCCGACUUCUGGAAGGGAUGCAUUUAUUAGAUAAAAGGUCGACACGGGCUCUGCCCGUUGCUACGAUGAUUCAUGAUAACUCGACGGAUCGCACGGCCCUCGUGCCGGCGACGCAUCAUUCAAAUUUAUGCCCUAUCAACUUUCGAUGGUAGGAUAGUGGCCUACUAUGGUGGUGACGGGUGACGGAGAAUUAGGGUUCGAUUCCGGAGAGGGAGCCUGAGAAACGGCUACCACAUCCAAGGAAGGCAGCAGGCGCGCAAAUUAGUGUGAUAAUAUUAUCCCUCCUUUGUAGUGUAAAUGAGGAAUCAGUAAGGGUCAAGUAGGAAAUGUGGGAAAAGAAAGGAAGGAUUUAAAAGAUGAAAUUUUGUUUAUCAUUUCUUUUCUGAUGAUAAAUUUACAACCAAAGAGAACGCACCCUUAGUGUAUAAUAUAUGUCAUUAUUCAGCCUAAAUUUUUUAUAAUCAAUUGCUUUUUGAUGGGGAUUGAAUGCAUUCGUAUCUAUAUGAGUCUGGGUAAUUGCUUCUAAUCUCGCGGUACAAUCAACGCAAUGAUUAUAGAUUAAAUGCAUUUAUAUUAAUAUAUAAUUAAGGUAAAUUAGUGUGUAACGCAUCGCAAUUUGACGGAGAACGGAUUUUACAUCGUAAUUUAUAAUCAUUGUACAUCGUUUAUAGUUAUAGUUUAUGAAAUGGUCUUUAUAUAAAUUAUUUUAUAGUUAAUUUUAUUUGAUUAAAUUAAAUUAAAUUUGCGGCCCAAUCACGCGACCGCGAGGCUGGCCCGCGUGGUUGCUCUGCAAUACUCUUACUUGAUCGUGCAGCCCGGGCACACGACGGCCUUGCUGGCCUGCAUGACCUCCUUCUGGCGCGCCAUGUAUUUAGUGCUCUGUAUAAUGUAAUUCUGUAUCCUUAGUGUGAUUAUGUAAGCUGUAAUGAGUUUAUUUUCUAUGCAUUUGGUGCAAACUGUCUACAUAUUAAGCUGAAAUCCAUCAAGCUGUUUCUUAAACAUGAGAAGAUACAGAGUAGAAACAAGAAAUGAAGAAAUCACAAUUGUCAGAGCAACUAAAUGUCAUUUAGAAACACACAACCACCAAAUGAGAAGAAAAAUCAAUUAUCCAAAUUAACGCCAACUGCUCUAGCUCAUGGAUUGAUAUUCACGAUCCUUCAUUCCAUUUUGGAGAUUAAGUUGAAUUCUUAUCUUUGUGCAAUGCUUUUGGUUGUCACAUCUUUAACUCCCUGAAAACACUUGACACAAUCUUUUUCGGGAGGGUAUCCAGAUAUGGACAAUCAAGGAUUUCUAAUUUCUCGAGCCCAAACAUUGCAUCAUCUCCACAUUGUACAUUCUCAAAUUCCACAACUCUUCGAAGCAAGGACUUGAGGCUUGAGAAGUCGUUAUUCAAGAUCACCAUUUUUGACCAGUGUAUGCAUUCCGCAAUUUAAGGAAUGUAGAGGGUAGAUUCCCAAGUAGUGGCAUGGGGUCUUCAUCAAGACAACUAUCAAUUAAUGUCAAUGAUUUAAGAAAUCGAGGGUAACUUAUUGGAAGCUUGGUCAGGAGUCCAUCCAAUUUGAGUGUACGGAGAUUUUGUAGAAUAGCAAGCUCAUCCAAACAAGGCAUGCUUCUGAAACAAUACCCUCUUAAGAUUAGGUGUUUUAGACUCUCCAACACAGCCAAUGACACAAAGAGCUUGCUUACAUCGAGUUUCCAUCCAAUUCUUCUAUGCCCAAUUUUGAAGACUAAUCAACUCCUUUAAGCCCGAGAACUCAUAUGUCAAUUAUACACCGAGAGUAGGUUAAGGUCUUAGAUGCUGUAGCGCUUCUAUUCCAAAGGCAUCCCAAAUCAUAUCAGACAGGUAGAGGUGGCGAAGGCUACACAAUUCCCAUAUAACAUCCGGCACCUCCACCAUAAAGUUUUGAGCUAGUCAAGAACCUCAACUUUUUCAACACCCCAACGACUCUGGAAGCUCUUUUAUGUAAUUAUUUCUCAACCCCAAGUAUCUCAAUUCCAUCAAUGAGCUGAUAGUUUCUGGUACAAUCUUCAACCCAAAAUCUUCCAAGUCAAGUAUCUUAAGUUGUUCAAAGCUCUUCCAAUAAGACGGAUUAGUGUCUAAGUAGCCACCUCCAUGGAGGAAGAGAGAAACAAGAUGUUUAUCUUGUUCCGUUGAGUGGUUGAACUUGUCUCUGCUACAAAUGGUAACACGAUGACAACGAGGACUCUGAGAAGGUCGAUUAUUUCCAUUGUUCCUUAGGAUCUCAAAAUCGAAGUCCUCCUCUGCUUUUUGGAUGGAUAGCAUGUGUAGCAGAACAUUGAUGUGAUACUCCGUGCUCUUGUCCCCAACUUCAAUAAAAGAUUCAUUGAUUAAACCAUCUAAAUAUGGUUUACAUUCAUCUUCUGAAUCCACUACUCCUCCUACAACCCAAAUCUGUGUCAACUUUUCUGCCCUGAAAGUUGUAUUUUCCUUAAAGAAUGCCAUAGACAAGAAACAUGGCCUCAGCUUGGGUUCCAAUUUAUGAUAAAAUGGUUCCAAUAACUUCAAUGUUGAACCAAAAUCAACUGAUUCAAGAAGUUGUUCCCAUUCACCCCCUCCUGAGAGUUUCUUUUCCACUAACUGCUUUCCCACCUCUUUUAUAGCUAAUGGCAGACCGCCACAUUUUCUCAACAUUUGUUUUCCAUAUACUCCAAGGACUUUGGGAAUUUGUGCUCAUCCAAUAAUUUAUUGCCAUGGUUUAUUGUUUUCAGAAACAAUUGCCAGCUCUUCUUAGAAUCCAAAGGUUUCAUCUGAUGAACAUUUGCAUCAUAUGCCCUUAUGUCGACAUGUGUCGUGUGACUUGUGAGCAGCAAUCUACUUCCUGCGACUGCUUACAUAAGAACAAUACAGAAAGGAACAGUCAGAAGGUUAAUUAUUGAGUCGAGAAAAUUUAUAUUGUAGAUUACUUUAGUGAUGUAGUAUUAUUUAAUAAAAAAAAAAAGUUUAAUCAAAAAAACUUUAAAUUUUGAACAAGCGCUUAAAUUCAAAUCAUAAGAAGACGAAAGAUGAUCAUACAUACCUUCUUCUGGAAGAGCUUUUAAGAAAGACUUCAAGCUCAUUUGUUUGGGCACAUCGUCGAGAACUAUAAGAUAUCGCUUUCCUUCCAGGUGUUGGCGAAGCAUAUCUCGGAGGCUGGGGUUGUCCAUAUUCUCCAAUAAGGAAGAUGUAUGGAGAUUCUGAGGAUCUUCUAGUUGCUGUAUUAGUUUGACAAGUAGCUCUUUGAUAGUGACAAACGUAGAAUUAGAUACCCAAGCACGGGGCUCGAAUCGCUCAAUGACAGUUGGAUGGUUGAAUAUCUCUCUCGCAAGAGUUGUCUUUCCAAUACCACUCAUCCCUUUGAUAAGAAUAGUCCCUCUAGUGCCACCAAUAAUCCUUUUGUGAAGCAGCAUUUCCACAUCUUCCUCCAACCCCACCAAUGGAUAUUUGUCAUCUUCAACAUUUUCUGAUGAUCUCAUGUUGGACUCAUCAUCUGCUAGCUUGAGCAUCUGUUUUUUGAUCUCUCCGAUCCAACCAAGGAUGGAAUCAUAUUCAAAUAACUCAAAGUAGUUGUUUUCUUUGAAAAUUUUGUGGGCAUCGUCAGCCAUCUCGACAAGGUCAGAUAUUAAAAAAUUUAGGCUUCUUCCCUCUUCCAAUUUCUUAUCCCUCACAAUAUCCACAAUCUCUCUCAACCCUUUAAUUACCCUUUCCAUUUGCUUCUUUAUGUCCUUCACUGUUUCUGUGUUCUCUUGAUAAUUAAUGUCCAGAUUCUUUAUCACAGAUAAGAGGAGAGCCUCAGACAUGUUUCUGCUUCCACCAAACUGCCCUAACAGCCAAUUUAACAACAUUAGUAGCUAGGAAAUGACACAUUCCAACAAAUCCAUAAAUUAUUAGUAUCGAAGAAAUGAUUUUGGAUUGAAUAAAAUUUACUCAAGCGAAAGAUUUAAAAAAUCUAACACUAUAUGAGAACUUCCUCAUGAUCAUGUGAAUUUAAUUUUCGAUAUACUUGAAAACAUCAUAAACACGUGAAUUCUCAAAUUAAUUAAUCGAAAUUGCUAGUAUGGCGCGAUUGUAUAAGGCCUAGGGUCGUUUCACUCGUCAUACUGUCGCGCCAUGUUGGCAAUUCUGAUGUCUAGCUCAGCUUUAAUUUGGGAUUAAUUAUAUCUAUUGGAAUAUAUUUGACACUCAUCACAUGGUUACACGAUCUAAAAAUGAUAUUUUCAAACCUAAAGCAUAUAUAGCUGUACUUGAUGGACCUCAUGUUCACAAGUCUAUUCUUGCUUUACCUUUGACACUGGAGGAAGCUCUGUCUCAUAAUGGUUGGUAUGACGCUAUGGCUCAAGAGUUUGAUGCUAUAUUGGGCAAAGGCACGUGGGUACUUAUUCCACCUGACCCCACUCAAAAGGUUAUCAUUAAUAAGUGGGUAUUCAAGGUAAAACUCAAUCCAGAUUACACCUUAGACAAGUUGAAAGCGUAGCAAGGGGUUUCGAACAAAUGGCUGGGGUAGACUUUGUUGAAACUUUCAGUCCAGUGGUGAAAACUUCCACUAUCAGGUUAAUGUUCUCACUUGCAGCAAAACAUGGGUGGUCUAUACAACAAACAUAUGUGAAUAAUGCUUUUAUAAAUGGAGCAUUAACUGAUACGAUUUAUAUGGCUCAACCUGUUGGGUUUGAGGAUCCUAAACACCCUGAUUAUGUUUGUAAGUUGCAGAAUGCUUUAUAUAGCUUGAAGCAGGCUCCUCGGGCCUGGUAUGACACCCUCACUACUGAAAUCUGCAGCCUUGGUUUUCAAAAGUCCACUGCUGACUUCUCCUUAUUCUAUCAGAAAUCAGGUUCUGCUCUUACUCUAAUCUUGGUGUAUGUUGAUGAUAUACUAGUUACUGGUGACGAUCUUACUAUUGUCACCUCUGUUAUUGAUCAUCUUCACAAGAAGUUUUCAGUUAAAAAUCUUGGGGGUGUUAGCUAUUUUUUGGGAAUUGAACUGCUUCAUCACAGCAAGAGUUUUUACUUAUGCCAACAUAAGUAUCUUCAUGAGCUUUUGGUUAAAACAAAGAUGGUUGACAGCAAACCUUGUGACAAACAUGGUUUUCGUACCUUAAUUCCACAUGAUUUGUUGUCAUUUUCCUUCAUAUUUUGCUUACCAAUGCGUGUUUGUACCCUAAUGUUGAGUUUUAUGAAGAUUUGAUUCAUUGGUGUAGUUUUGGAGUGAUUUCAGGAAAAAUCAAAGAUUAAUUGGAGGAUUUUGAAGACAUGAGAUUGAAGUACGUCUCGAGAGAAAUCCGUGAGCACAAACGGCGACAAAAUCCGAGUCCGGACGAGGGAGAACAGAGCAAAACGAGCGGACUGCGCAAGGAGCCUAGGGCCCCCCGGUCACUACCCGCGGCCGCGGGCAUGACCGCGGCUUCCUGGGCGUUUUGAUACAGAUUGCAUCCGUGGUCGGGGCCGCAGCCGCGGGUCCGACCGCGGGCCUCUCCAAAAGCUCCCCCACGGUCCUACGCCGCGGUCACGGCCGUGACCGCGGGAGAAACACGGAAUUGUGCGUUUUUGUGGGCCCAGACGAGAUUUUCAGCCCCAAAUACCCAUUUUUUUCCCCCUCUUUUGGGAUGAUCCACCAUUCUUCACCUCUCAAAAACCCUAGCCUCCAUUCUCUACCAUUUUUAUCUCUUCCACACACAAAAACAACACCAAAAUCAAAGAAAGAAGGGGAAGACUUGGAAAGGAGCUCAUCAAUAUUACAUAAUUGAAGAUCAAGAUUAUAGGAUUUGUCUAUGAAUCUCUAUCUCUCUAUAUCUUUAUUUAUGUUUUCUUAUGACUUGGGAUUUAUUUUUAUUAUGAAUAUGGUUGGCUAAAAUCCCUUAUCUUAGGGAUUAGAUUAGAUGGAUUUGUAAUGGAUUGAUUUCUUUGUUUAAUAUAUAUCUUGAUUAUGCUUAUUGUUAUAUUUUCAAGCCCUAGAUUUAUCUCUUGUAUGAUUCGUUGGCCACCUUUUGUGCAUUUCUAAUUUGUGAUUUGAAUCGGGAGAAGAUAAUUACAAUAGAUUAGGAGUUUGAUACAUGUCAUCUCAAUAAACCGGGAGGUUGAGAGUUGGGUGAGGGCAUGUUGAUCUUUUGUGCUCUUGGGAGUUAUAGGUAAGAAAUUGACCGGGGACGGCAAUUAUGACCCGUAAUCUACUGUUUUAGUCGUCCGGGAGGGGGCUAAAACUAGUGGGGAGAUCGCCCUAGAUAAGAAGGCCAUAUCAAGAUUAAUAUUGAUUUAGAUUAAAAUUCAUUACAAUCCAUCGAAAUAUAGUCCCUAUGAUAACUUUCCUUCGAGUCAUUCCCCAAUUUAUUAGUUAAGUUUAUUUUGUUGUUAUUUUAGUUUACUUGCUUUAAUUUAGCUUUGUUUUAGUUCUCAACAUCUCUUGAACUUUGGUUGUCUUAAUAGAUUGAAAACAACUUAUUAAUAGUAUUUAGAAGUUUGAAUUCACCAAUCCUUGUGGGAUAUGACCUUGCUUCCCUAUAUUGCAACUACACCGUGCACUUGCGGCGUAGCGAAAAAUAAUAGCGAACACCUUGCCCUACGCCUAUGCUUCCAGCUGCUAAGCUUUCCAAAAAUGAUGUUGAAUUCUUCCCUGAUCCUACUCUAUACUGCAGUACUAUUGGAGCAUUGCAAUAUCUCACUAUCACAAGGCCAGACAUUGCCUUUUCUGUCAAUAAACUAAGUCAGUUUUUGACAAAUCCCACUACUGUUCACUGGAAUGCGUGUAAACGCUUACUUCGUUAUUUGAAGGGCACUGCUUCUCUCAGAUUAGCAUUUCAUUAUUCCUCUUCAUCUCACAUUGUUGGUUUCUCAGAUGCAGAUUGGGCCAGCUGCCCAGAUGAUAGACGAUCCAGCGGAGGGCAUUGCGUUUUCUUAGGGCCUAAUCUUAUUACAUGGUCUGCCAAAAAGCAAGAGGUUGUAUCAAGAAGUAGUGCAGAGUCCGAAUAUCGGAGCAUGGCUAAUGCUACUACAGAAAUUGUUUGGCUGCAAGCCUUAUGUCACGAACUUGGCCUCUCUAUCACAGCUCCUCACAAGCUUUGGUGUGAUAAUGUGAGUGCCAUCGCUUUGGCCGGGAAUCCAGUUUUUCAUUCUCGCACCAAGCAUAUCGAGGUAGAUGUUCACUACGUUCGAGACAAGGUCAAGGAUGGCACUAUGGACGUAGGGUAUGUGCCUUCCACGGAUCAAUUAGCUUACAUAUUCACCAAACCGUUAGCAUGAUACAAGAUUCUGUAUGUUAGAGGAAAUGUUAAAUCUUGUUGAGCUUCGCACAUGAUGAAGGUCUGGUUUCAUGGGGGAGUAUUGGAGUAUAUUUGAAAUGAUGCAGCAAAGUUUAUUUUGUUGCCUUAGUUUCUGUUAGUUAGUUACAGUAGAGGUUAGUUAGCUACAGUAGACGGUAGUUAGCAAGUUAGUUGUAAAUUGUAAUCAUCUUCUUGAAGCUUCUAUUUCGUUGUAUAAAUAGAGCAGCUUCUACAUCUUGUAGAUCUGAUUUUCAUAUUCAAUAAACAUGAGUUCUUCGCCUACAAUCUAUAGCCUAGUCUAUUCAAUAAUAUCCCGUGGAAACAUUAAGAAUUGAUUUUCGAUUGGACAAAUUUGCUAAUUUAAAAUGUCAUUUGAGAAGCCAUAAAAUGUAGAAAGUCCUUAUUGAAAAUAAUUUUACACUAGACUAAAACUUAACAAGGAAGAGACCAAAAAUCUUGAUGAUCUUUCAAAGUCGAAACAAAGUUGGAAGUUAUUUUUAACAAUCCUAAAACUAAUUAACCAUAGGAAUUGUGGCCAAAUUUUUUGAUGAAGAAGUUGACGUUUAUUUCAGACCUAAUGGUAAAAAUAGGACCGUAACUUUCAGGAUUUUUCGAAAAAGGACUAUAAGUUACGGAUUUUGAAAAUAAGGACUAUAAAUUUUUUUUUUAACAUUUACACUCCUGUUUCGGGCCAAAAAAAAAUUGACAUGGCAGUCCACGUCAGCAACGGGCUCUAGGUGGCAUCAAAAGCCCGAACAAUUAAUUUUGGGCCCGAAACAGGAGUGUAGAAUGGAGAAUAAAAAAGCACGUAUUAUAUGAAGAGAAGGCAAGCAGACACAAAAAUCCCCAAAAACAAAAAAAUCAUAAAUAAACACAAACAGAAAAAUUAAACACAAAAAGCCAAAAAAAAAAUAAAUAAUAAAAUUACAUAGAAAGAAAUUGGACCUGGCUAGCUUGUAGAGGAGCUUGCAGACACAAAAAUCCCGCAAUCACACUGUGAUAGAACUCAUAAUCUUCUUCUUAUCUUAUGAUAUUUUGAAUUGAUACAACUAACUCUGAUUUCAUUUUGACAAUAGUCAAUAAGCAAGCAUUGUAAAUUUGUAUUCGAGAGGAUUGAGUAAGAGCAGAUUUAAGAUAACAUACCUGGGCUGCUAGCGACGGACCAAGGACGAAGGAGCAGUGGUUGGGGGAUCGAGGCGCGGCGGAAUCCGGUGGUGUUUACUGUGAUUAGAUUUAAUUAGGGCUCUGAAUGCUGAAUUUUGUUUGAGUAGAAUUAGAGAUUCAGAAGGUUAGAAAGUUAACGAUUUUGAAGAAGCCAAAUAGUGUGCAUAAUUUGAAGUGCUGAUUUGUUGUUUCACGCAUAAAAUUUGAAGGGAUAAAAAACAAGUUUGAAAGAUAUCUAAUAUCGCUUUCACAAUGGAAAAUACAGAAUGAUUUGGUGGCUUCAACAGUUGGAAGUCUUUCAAUAAUAAAUUCAUUAUUUGCACGGUUUCACAAGAAACAAGUAAAAGUUGAUCCAAUAUCGAUCCUAGCACCAAACAAUAUUAAUAUUUCUGGCUCAGGAUGAGGUUGGAUUCACAGUAUUAUCAAAUUCAUCAACAGAACUGAAUUAUGUAUGGGAAAGUGAGAAAAUUUACUCCCUUAGUCCCAUAUAUAUAGGCUAAUUGAGAUCACAUGGAUUAAGAAAACUCAUUGAAAAUCUAUACUAUAUUAAAAAGAGAGUUUUCAAUUUCAAAUUGAUUUCAAAUCAAUUUCAAAAUUGAGUGGCAAUUUUGCAGUUAAAAUAAAAUUGAAGGUUUAUUUAUAAGCUAUACAUCUUUUUUUUCUUUUUCUUUAAUUUCUUAUUUUUCUAUUUUAUUUCUUUUUUUAAAAUUAUGAAAUUUGACUAAUUAUAAAAUAUUUGAUGUGCAUAUCAAAUUAAAGAUCAUGACAAGAGCUUUAAUUUGAUAUAUGUUAUGUAAAUAUUAGAUUUAAAAUAUAAAAAUUAAAUUUGUUUAAAGAUUAAAACUUAAGAAAAUUCUCUCUCCUCUCCCUCUUUUUUUUAAUAAAUCUAUUUUUUCAAUUAUCUUUUAACUUAUAUUGUUGUCUUUUUUCACAAUAUCAUUUUUUAUUAAUAUGAAUUAUUCUUUAUUAUUUUAUAUUAAACUAAAAUAUAUUUAUCUUAAAUUAUAAAUAGAAUAUCAAAUAAUAAUCAAAUGUAUAUAUAAUAAAAAUAUAAAAAAUUUUACAUACAAUAAACGAUAAAAAUACUAUGAAAUAUAUAUAUAGGCUGAUUGAGAUUUUAACAUGGAUUAAGAAAACUUAUUGGAAAUGAAAAUAUAUAAGUAACCUUCCUAAUAUGCCCAUAUUUAUUAUUCAAUAAUGUAUUAAAGUUGGAGUAAAUUAAAGAAUUAAAUAGGGAUAUAAUAGUAAAUGAGUAAAAAAAACAUUACUUUUUAUGGCAAUAGGCCUAUAUAAAUGGGACAUCCGAACAAGGAAAUCAAGCCUAUAUAAAUGGGACAUCCGAAAAAGGAAAUCAAGCCUAUAUAUAUGGGAUGGAGGGAGUAUCAAAUUCACAGUAGGUGUUGGGUUCUAGUUCAAAAACUUUGCCUAAAUAAUGUGUAAAUUUAACAACCACUAAUAAAAUAUAAGAAGCCAGCUGAAUGAUUAAUGAGGAAAAAAAAAAAACUUCCACUUUCAUCCCACAUGCAUUCUGACAGUCCAUAGUCGAGUUGAAUUGAUUGUUGUCAAGUGUUGGAGAAAAUAGAUGAUUAGGGUCGUCUCUCAGGGUGGGCGAGCAUGGGCGACCGCCUAGGGCCCAUCUAGUUUUUGGGGGCCCAAAAUAUUGUGUAUACUCUUAUAUCUACUUAUUAUUAUUAUUAUGGGCUCAAUAUAUAUUUUUUUAUGUAUUACUACUAAUAUUAAAAAUAUUCGGGGCCAAAAAGUUACAUCCCAAAAUAUUUUUGGAGCCCAAAUUAAUAAAUUACAUCUCUAAAUAUUUUUGUAUAAUAGUGUGACUGUGUGAAAAUCUUAAAUUCUUUUUCAGUUGUAUGCUGAAGUUGAGGAUAUUAGUGAGAAUAGAGAUAACUUGACCGAGCAUGAUUACCUUCUUAAUAUGCCAAAUGACGAACAUAGAGCCAAUGAUGAACAUUUUAUUUCUUCAUGUGAUAUAUAUGAUCUGAGAAAUUGGGAUAAUAUUGAUAAUAAUGCACACGAUAUUUUAGUUGGAAAAAGGGCCUAGCUAUUAGAGAAAUGAAUCUUGUAUUUCCUUUAGGCGACAUCUCUAGGCUAUUUUUCUUUUGCUCACUNGACUAUAAUUUUUUUUUUUAACAUUUACACUCCUGUUUCGGGCCAAAAAAAAAAUUGACAUGGCAGUCCACGUCAGCAACGGGCUCUAGGUGGCAUCAAAAGCCCGAACAAUUAAUUUUGGGGCCCGAAACAGGAGUGUAAAUGUUAAAAAAAAAAAUUAUAGUCCUUAUUUUCAAAAUCCGUAACUUGUAGUCCUUUUUCUAAAAAUCCUGAAAGUUACGGUCCUAUUUUUACCAUUAGGUCUUUAUUUCAUGAUGCCAAAAAUUCUUUCGUUUAGAAUGGAGAAUAAAAAAGCACGUAUUAUAUGAAGAGAAGGCAAGCAGACACAAAAAUCCCACAAACAAAAAAAAUCAUAAAUAAACACAAACAGAAAAAUUAAACACAAAAGCCAAAAAAAAUAAAAUAAAUAAAAUUCAUAGAAAGAAAUUGGCCUGGCUGCUUGUAGAGGAGCUUGGAGCUUGAGUAAUCGUGCAAUCACACUGUGAUAGACUCAUAAUCUUCUUCUUAUCUUAUGAUAUUUUGAAUUGAUACAACUAACUCUGAUUUCAUUUUGACAAUAGUCAAUAAGCAAGCAUUGUAAAUUUGUAUUGGAUUGAGUAAAGCAGAUUUAAGAUAACAUACCUGGGGUGCUAGCGACGGACCAAGGAUGAAGGAGCAGUGGUUGGGGGAUGGAGGCGCGGCGGAAUCCGGUGGUGUUUACUGUGAUUAGAUUUAAUUAGGGCUCUGAAUGCUGAAUUUUGUUUGAGUAGAAUUAGAGAUUCAGAAGGUUAGAAAGUUAAGAUUAAAACUUAAGAAAAUUCUCUCUCCUCUCCUCUUUUUUUUGAAUAAAUCUAUUUUUUCAAUUAUCUUUUAACUUAUAUUGUUUUCUUUUUUCACAAUAUCAUUUUUUAUUAAUAUGUGAAUUAUUCUUUAUUAUUUUUAUAUUGAACUAAAAUAUAUUUAUCUUAAAUUAUUUAUAUAAUAAUCAAAUGAUAAUCAAUUUUAUAUAUAAUAAAAUAUAAAAAUAUUUUUCGUGCGUUGCACGAGUGCAAAUGCUAGUGAAAUAUUUAUAUAGGCUGAUUGAGAUUUUAACAUGGAUUAAGAAAACUUAUUGGAAAUGAAAAUAUAUAAGUAACCUUCCUAAUAUGCCCAUAUUUAUUAUUCAAUAAUGUAUUAAAGUUGGAGUAAAUUAAAGAAUUAAAUAGGGAUAUAAUAGUAAAUGAGUAAAAAAACAUUACUUUUUAUGGCAAUAGGCCUAUAUAAAUGGGACAUCCGAACAAGGAAAUCAAGCCUAUAUAAAUGGGACAUCCGAAAAAGGAAAUCAAGCCUAUAUAUAUGGGACGGAGGGAGUAUCAAAUUCACAGUAGGUGUUGGGUUCUAGUUCAAAAACUUUGCCAAAUAAUGUGUAAAUUUAACAACCACUAAUAAAAUAUAAGAAGCCAGCUGAAUGAUUAAUGAGGAAAAAAAAAAACUUCCACUUUCAUCCCACAUGCAUUCUGACAGUCCAUAGUCGAGUUGAAUUGAUUGUUGUCAAGUGUUGGAGAAAAUAGAUGAUUAGGGUCGUCUCUCAGGGUGGGCGAGCAUGGGCGACCGCCUAGGGCCCAUCAUUUUUGGGGGCCCAAAAUAUUGUGUAUACUCUUACAUCUACUUAUUAUUAUUAUUAUGGGCUCAAUAUAUAUUUUUUUAUGUAUUACUACUAAUAUUAAAAAUAUUCGGGUCCAAAAAGUUACAUCCCAAAAGAUUUUUGGAGCCCAAAUUAAUAAAUUACAUCUCUAAAUAUUUUUGUAUAAUAGUGUGACUGUGUGAAAAUCUUAAAUUCUUUUUCAGUUGUAUGCUGAAGUUGAGGAUAUUAGUGAGAAUAGAGAUAACUUGACCGAGCAUGAUUACCUUCUUAAUAUGCCAAAUGACGAACAUAGAGCCAAUGAUGAACAUUUUAUUUCUUCAUGUGAUAUAUAUGAUCUGAGAAAUUGGGAUAAUAUUGAUAAUAAUGCACACGAUAUUUUAGUUGGAAAAAGGGCCUAGCUAUUAGAGAAAUGAAUCUUGUAUUUCCUUUAGGCGACAUCUCUAGGCAUUUUUCUUUUGCUCACUAUACUAGAAAAUUAAGCAAUGGUGAAGUGCAAGAUCGAAAGUGGUUAAGUAUAUAGUAAAAAUAUUUGUCAAAUACACGUUGAGAAAGUUGUAUUAAAAGUAUUCUUAGAUUUCAGUUCGUUGAAUUGAGAGAUGCUUUAUUAAAAUUAUGUGAUAUUUGUGGUGAUGUCAUGAACUCGUCGUUUGAGCUUCGCGCAAAUAAAUUCUGUGCCCACAACUAGGUUAGCUAGUAGUAAGUCCAGAGUCGAAUCCAUAGGGAACUGAGUGUAAUCUCUCCUGCAAGGGUAUCACUAAAAAAAGGUUUUGUAUCUAGGUUGUUCCGGUCACAACUUGCUUGUGGGCAUAAUGGGGUUUCAGACUAAACUGAAAUCACAAAAAUAACUUAAUCAAAUAACAAAGCAAUUCUAACUUGCGUUGGACUCACUAAACAUGAACUAGGCACUCGGUUAUUGGUUCAAAUAUGUUUCACUACACUCGUAUACCAGUUGGUUAUAGUGUCACGCCCUCAAUUGUCACGCGUCAAGCACGCAAUAAUCAUAUGUCUAAUCCAUCCUUUUAGUGUAUGACUCCAGAAAUUAUCAGUUAUUGGGAUCAACUAUCCUGGUCAAAAGGCACUCCUUACGUUUGCCUCUCGCUUGAAAAUGUUAUGCCCAAGAUGCAUACAGAUUUAGAUAGACCCAACUAGCUUUCUUAUUAUUACUCCCUCUGUCCCUGCAAUAGCUUCCUCUUUGGGGACGGCAUGGGCUUUAAGGAAAAGUUGUAAAGUGUAUUGAUAGUAAAUAAAAAGUGUUAUAAUUAUUAUUGGAAGUUGUGAAAAGUGAAAAGUAAGAAUAAAUAAAUAUUAUUAGUGGUGGGGUAGUUGUCCAAAAAUGGAAAGAAAUAAAAAGAAAGUUAUUUGGGGGACGCCCCAAAAAGAAAAAAGAGGAAGUUAUUUUAGGGACGGGGUGAGUAUUUUUUUUUUUGUUAAAAUGUACAAGCUAUUAAUUGACAGCUAAUGCAGAUUAUUUAAAGAGGUGGUCUUGGGCACAACCGAAUGUACCGUAUAACCGGGUUACACUCAUACUUAGACCCUGACCCGCACCCUUAUUCGAACUCGCAUCCUGACCCGAAUCGUAUAAAUAACACUAUUAUGGGUACAGGUCAACCCGAUUAUACGGUACAUUCGGUUGUACCCAAGUUUUUAUGUUAUUUAAAUGGCCAUCAACAGCUAUGUUUCUUGGAUCCAGUUAACUAAGAAGUAAUUGUCAAAAUUAAUUACAAUAAAGUCACCCACUAAAGGCCAGCUUAACAAGUUAAUUUUCUAUUAUUAAGAUUUAAAGUUUGUUUAAUCCGUAUCUUAGCUGGCUCAUGUGGACUAAUGAUUUUAUUAAUUUCAUGGAAUCUAUUGAGCUUUCACCUUUCAUGAAAUGACUUGUUCAAUGAUAGAUCUAUUGUGUCUAUUUAAUUAGUUCAUUACUUAAAUGGCAUAAUUUAUUAUUAUUGGGAGAUGCAAUGAUUUUUAAAAUAAUCUGUUAGUUGGGAUGUCAUGCUCACUUGCAUAUUUAUUAAAAUUACAAGUAGUCUCUGCUGCUUUUUUUACAUUACCAGUUUCUCUCUCUACAAUUGUUAUUGUUCCUAAAAUGAUCUGCAAAAUAUUGUAGCAUGAGCAUAGUUUAUUUCUUCUCUUCUCAUUCUCCCUCUGCAGUUGUUCCAUUGUUUCAUCUUCGAAAUCUAGUAUUGAGAGGAUAGUUUCUUUCUCUUCUUCUCUCUCACUACUAUUUUUAUUGCAAUGUUCCUUUAUAGUUCACCAAAAUCUCUUGCAUGAAGAGGAUUGUCUUUUACCCCUCUUUUUCUCUCUCUUUACAGUUCCUCCAUUUCAUCUGCUAAAUCUUGUGGUUAGAGCAUAGUUUCUUUCCCUUCUCUUUGUUAUUCUACCUUUGAUUAACACAAUCUUGUAGCUGAGAGUGUGAGUAACGAUGGCUUAUUCUACUCUUGUUUCACUUGAAAGAACCAUUGAUCAAUUCCUCAAUCAUAAUCAACUUUCCAUUUCUCCUCAUGAAAAAGAACAUAUUAUAUCUCUUGAUAAACAUGUCAUUUCACUCCUAGCUUUUCUUGAGGAAUUUCCGGAGAAAGCCAAGAGUUUGGAAGCAAGAAUGAGGGAUGUUGCAAUGGAGGCUGAAGAUGUUAUUGAAUUGUACAUGUCGGAAAAACUCAGCUUCAAUAUUAGAUAUACUCAUUGGAUUGAAAAAAUCAUGUUCAAUAUUAGAUAUAGCCACUGGAUUGCGGAACUAAGAAGAAUCAAGUUUAUAUUCCAGUUGUGCAGAGCAAGAGAUCGAAUGGAUUCAAUCACCGGAGAGGUGGUGGAGAUCAAAAAUAGCAUCGUCAUCAAAGAUGCACAACAAGAUGAUAUCGUUGGUGCUAGUUCUUCAUCACCGCGAGUUGCAGAAGUUGGCAAAAUCAAUAUGGUUGGCUUGGAUGAAGAUUUGCUAGAAAUAAAGGCUUGGCUUUGUGGAGAUUCGCGACAGCUCCAAAUCCUCCCAAUAACCGGUAUGGGAGGUAUUGGCAAGACGACUCUUGCUAGAAACGCUUAUGAUGAUCCGUUAAUCAUGGAGCAUUUUCAGAUUCGUGCUUGGGUCACAGUAUCACAGGAUUAUAGUGAAGGAAGAAUUCUUUCAGAUCUCCUAGAUUGCUUGAAAGAAUUCGACAAAGAAUGGAAGAAUGAAGAGAUCUCUAGAAAGAGCAACAGUAAAAUGGCGGAGAAAAUCUACAAGAUCCUUGUAGAGAGAAGGUUUCUGAUUGUAAUGGAUGAUAUAUGGAGCACAAAGCUACUGGAUGAUGUGAAGAGGUUAUUUCCCAACAACAAUAACAGGAGUCGGAUCCUGUUAACCACGAGGCUCGGAGAUGUUGCUGCUUAUGCUGACUCCUCCCGGCCUCCCCACGAGAUGAGUUUGGCGGAUGCGGAUCAAAGCUGGAAUCUACUACGAGGGAAGGUGUUCGGAUGCCAAGAUUUCGUUCCUCGUGAAUUGGAGGCCACAGGAAGGGAGAUUGCAAGAAGCUGCGGAGGACUGCCCCUUGCAGUGGUGGUGGUUGCAGGGCUUCUAUGCACGGUGAGUAAAACUCGAACUUCGUGGGAGGAAAUCUUCAGAAAUGUAAAAUCAGCUCUUGCCACUACUGAUGGGCAGGUGCAGAAGAUUCUAUCCUUGAGUUACAACCAUUUGCCUCAUCAUCUGAGGCCGUGUUUCUUAUACAUGGGAGGAUUUCCAGAAGACCACCAGAUUAAGGUUCUAGUACUGAUGAGGUUAUGGAUAGCUGAAGGCUUUGUGAAGCCAGUUGCAUCUCAAAGCUUUGAAGACACUGCAGAAGAGUAUCUAGAAGAUCUUAUCAAGAGAAGUCUCGUUGUUGUUUCCAAGAAUAAGUCCAACGGAAAAAUCAAAAGUUGCAGCCUUCAUGAUCUCGUACGAGACUUGUGCAUAAAGCAAUCGCAGGAAGAGAAGUUUCUCGUGCACGUUAAGAGUGGGCGAGCGCGGGAGCUGAAGAAAAGCAUGAAAGACGAGCGCAGGAUAAGUAUUUCUCAAUUUGACGAAAUUGAUUCUUUCGCUAGCAUCUUCAGCUUGACCAUCCGUACUAUAUUGUAUUUCCAAGAUGAAAUUGGCUCUUUUGGGAGUUUCAGAUUGCUCAGAGUCUUGGAUGUGUUGAGAGUGGAAUAUACGUCGUCCCGUUUGGUUCCUGCUCAAUUUUUCGAGCUAUUCCAUUUGAGGUACCUUGCUUUCUGCUGCAAUGAUCCAAUUCCAAGCGCAAUAUCAAACCUUCAAUCUCUUCAAACCUUGAUAAUCUGCUAUUUUAAUUCCUGGAUAGUCCCUGGCUAUACAUAAGAAUGAAAUAGAAGUUCAUUGAGCUGUUACAUUUUGUGUCCCAUCUCACAAAUCAAAUAGUGCUAAAACACUCAACUAACCAACUGCUUUUAUGAUCAGAUAAGGUUUUUUGCUCGUGCAAUAAAUCAGUUCGGUGAUCAUGGAUAUGAAGUCCCUAGAGUCUACACAUACCUGCAAGCAAUCUCUGCACCAAUCUUUUACCUAUGAACCCAGUGGCUCCAGUUACUGAAACGAUCAUCUCAUCUGCCUGCUUCAAAAAGGCCAAGUAAAACAUGUCUGAAAUAUACAUAUUAAUGGACCUUAACAUGCGAUUUUCCAUUACAGAGUACAGACUACACCUGCAGGGAAUCACAAUGUUGCCUUCACACUCUACAAGUCUAUGGCCUCCUGAAGCUUCAAUAAUCCUUUCCACUUUAGUGUUGAGAUAUGAUACACCUGACUCGACACACCUAGGAAAUUUAAUAUGAGUUACAAACCUAUAACUGUGACCAGUAUGAGUUACAAACCAAUAUAAUGAACUGAACAAGUUUCACAGCAAGCUUCAUCAUAUGGGUACAAUGCUUUACAUCAGUUUUCAUCACAUAAAUGGACAACGUUACACAAAUCAACAAUUUCGACGCCAACUCACUUGAAAACACCACGCAGCCAUUCAUCUCACAGCUCACAACUGACACACAUAUAUAUAUCAAUCAUCAUACUAAUAAAAUUAUGCAAAUAUAUAAAUGUUAUAGCUAUAUAUUCAGUUACCUGACACAGAGAAGACAAAAUGACCUAAUAUGCAGAUUCAAAGAUAGGAAAUCGUUUACACAUCAGCAAAUAUUUUCCUAAUUCAAAGGCAAGGCAGUAAAUUUAAAGCAGAAUUCAUAACACUAGAUUUGAUCUCCGAAGAAACAUUGUAAUCAGAAUACUCCUGGUUUCAGUAACAGUAUGAAGAAAUGAAAGUGAUUAUGUAUGAGAAUGUGUUUCAUUCUUUCAAUUGAGGAUAAUCCAAUAACAAGAGAUAAUUCAAAAACUUGAGCAAAAUAGCUUCAGAAAAUUAAAAAAUUUGAGCAAAAUAGCUUCAUAUAAUUUAAAAAAAUCGAGCAAAAGCCCUAAUCUAAAUCAUAUUGUUAUCAACAAAGUUCAAAAAUUAGGGAUUUGGAAUGAGAUUUGCGUAAGGGAUGAAUAAAUUAGGGAUUCUACCUUGGUGGUGGCUAUUGUAGAAGGCGGCGGCGACAGCGGCAGCUCCUAGGGUCUGCGAUUGAGAGCUCGACCGACGGCGGCUGCUAGGGUUAACGGACGGAGAGAGAGAGAGACGGGUGCGGUAGGUGGCAGACGGAGAAGCAAAAAGCUCGAUCUGCUGCUGCUGCUGCGAGAAGAGCGGCGUCAGCUGAGGAGAGGGGUGCUCCGCCGCCCGAUCUGCUGCUGCGAGAAGAACGGCGUCAGCGGAGGAGAGGGUGCUCCGCCGCCCGAUCUGCUGCUGCGAGAAGAGCGGCGUCAGAGGCGACGCGACGCAGGGUGGGUGGGGGCGGUCACUGACUCACUGGCAUCGGCGUCCGGUUGCUCGUGCAGCGUCGUCCGGGCGCGUCACCGGGGGAGCGUUGGGGGGAGGCGGCGGGUGUGUUAAGAGUGUUAAGAGUGUGGUGCAGAAGCUUGAAAAACUUGAAUUAAAAAAAGAAAAAAAUAAUGUUAAUACAUAAUAGUAUUGAGAGGCGCUCAUAGAUAACGGUUGAAAUAACCGUUAUAAAAAUAUGCUCAUAGAUAACGGUCGGCUUAACGGUUUUGUAGUACCGUUAUGUAUAAAACUAAUAGAUAACGCAUAUACAUAACGGUUUAACUUAAACCGUUAUCUAUUUCCAUGGACAACAGUACAUAGAUAACGGUUUUUUGUGAAAACCGUUAUCUUUGCAAAAAAAACGCUCAUAUUCAAAAACCGUUAUGUAUGAAGUGUUAUGUAUGAUGAUUUUUGUAGUAGUGAUGCUUUCUUUAUCAGAGUAGGAAGCUCCGUAAAGUGGUAAAGUUGAGCCACCAAAAGGCUUUUUCUUUCAAGUGGUCAUUGGUUUAAGUUCCACCGGAAGAGUGUGGGUUGUAUUUUAUUUGGUUUGAUGGAUUAUACUUAUUUGGUUAUUUACUUGUAAUAGCAUGAUUGUCAUUUGAUUCAUUCAUCGAUGUAAUAUACAAUUUCAUGAUGUAAUAUGUAUCUUGUAUCUCAAAAACAAAAAUGUUGAAACGAGCUCUUGAAAUUAGAUUCUUGAAAUUAGAUUAACUUAUAUAUAAAGUAUUAAUUGUUAAUAUUAAUUUUUAAAAUAUAUUUCAUCCCACCAGAAUUUUCUAAAUUUUCUACUUUUCCUUUUUCAGACGACCACAAAAAAACUUCCUACCUAUUUUUGGACUAUAGCCAUCACUAAUAAAUAUCUUUACUAUAACACAUUUUUCACCACUUUCAAUAUAUUCAACAACUUUUUUUCUUAAAAUCUGUACUACUCCUUCUUAGAAAGUUUUUUCAUGAACGAAAGGAGUACUAUUUUAUUCACAGUAAAAUAAUAUAAAUAUUUUUUUUAUCGCGAAGUAAUUAAUGAAAGUCUUAAUCCCUGUAACGACUGAUUAUAAUAUAAUAGAAUAUAUUUUUUUUAAAAAAUUAAAUCACUUAACGAGCUAACCAUUCUAACACUAUCGAGUUCAAACUUGAUUUGUUUACCUAACGAGCUUUUAUCAAGGAAAGAUGGUUCAUUUACAGCUCUAUUUCCUAGUCCACCUGAACCAAUAAGGAUGCGUUCUCUUUGGUUAUAAAUUUAUCAUGGGAAAAAGAAGGAUAGACAAAAUUUCACCCUUUAAAUCCUUCAUUUAUUUUUCCUCAUUUCCUAUUUGACCAUUACUUAUUCCAAAUUUACACUACAAAGGAGGUAUAAUAUUAUCCCUCCAAAAAUGAUGUGAUAAUAUUAUCCCUCAUUUGUAGUGAAAAUGAGGAAUGAGUAAGGGUUAAGUAGGAAAUGAGGGAAAAGAAAUGAUAAAUUUACAACGAAAGAGAACGCAUCAUAAAAGUAUAAAACUAUCAAAUUGAAUUUUUAUAUGAAUUCCAACCUAAUCGAACUGUAAUAUGGGCUGCCAUCUUGAUUCCAUAUUGGGCUUGUGAGCUACAAAUAUUGGGCUUUGGUUGGCAAAAUAAAACAAGUAUCUGAAAAGGAAUAAUUAAACAAAAAAAGAAUAUCUUCGUUUGGUGAAGCUUUACACCAAAAACAAACUCAAAAAAUUUUAAAAUAUUUUCAGCUGGAAGCUUGAUUGUGCUUUGAAAAUUCUUGUUCUUCUAUUAAGGGAAGAACAUGGUGGAAAAUCAAAGUGAUUGGAAAAUAAAGACUCUAUGCACAAUCGUGGAGGUGAAUUUAUUGGAAAAUCCUUUAAGGGGUGUUUACUUUGAAGGAUUUAGCUUUGAUAUAUAAAAAUAGUGAGGACAAUCCCUUGUUUACUUUGUUGGAUUGAAACUCUGGGAUAUCUCAAGGCACUUGAUUAUUUUUAUCAUUUAAGCUAGUUUUGUUUGAUUCUUAUCAUAUCAAAAGGGUGGGAUUCGAGUAAUCCUACUCUUGAGGAUAACAACUUGACCGGCGCUCAUCGCCGGGUGUAGAAGCGUGAAGUAACAGUGAAAUUGCAACAAGCCUUCAGGCCGGCUUUCACGGGCCGGAAUUGUUAUUAGUCUUAGCUACCAAACACGCUAAACACCCCAGACUAUUUGACAAUCAAGGGUAAACGAGCCCACCAAACAUGUCCUUAUCUAUACUAAUAGAAAAGGAGCUUAAGGUAUUUUAAGGCACAACUUGUGGAUUGCCUAUUUUACCCCUAUUACAUAUUUUAUUUUAAAAUUAUUUUACAUAUUAUAUAUUUAUAAGAAUAUAUUAAUUCAUUAGAUAUUACAAUAAAUCUAUGUGAUAUAUUUAUAUAGCUAUUGAUAAGGCUUAUAAAUAAAUAUAUUCAUCCAAUAAAUUAUCUUNGUCUAGCUCAUCUUGCUUCCUUUCUUCUGUGGUGAAGUCUGCCUUUGACUUGGGCUGGUCCUCAUCGUAAGGUUCCUGACGGAUGUCAGUAGGAACCCUUUUUACAGUUUCGGUGAUAAUGAUUGGACCGCUGGUGAUGACUUCCCACAUUCUACAAUGUUGGGCAAUGAGGAAGCUUUCAAGCCGAAACUUCCAUAUGUCGUAUUUUUCAAUACAAAACAUAGGUAGAGAAGAUAAUCUGCUGUGGUUAGUCUCCAUCAAAAAAGAGAGAACAGGUAACAGCAGAUAAAGCAAGUAGCAAGCACAAAACAAUAAGAAAGAGUAAAACUUUUCGAGACCUUUAAAAAAGAUCUAGUUCAAGUAGAACUAGUCAGAGACAGAUAGUUUUUGCUAACAACCUGCUCUGAUACCAAUUGUUAGGUCCGGGGGUCUCGAAUAGGUGUAUGGGAGGGGGAGAAUACACCUAUGGGCUAUUUUAAACUAUCCUCAAUCAGAUGGAUCUCAGUCAGAGAUCAAAACGAAACUUUACAUGCAAACACAGACGCCUGUUUAACUGAAAUCAGUUUUGACCAAACAGGGUUGACGACUGAUAUUGAAAGCUCUUCAGUAAAGAGUUAUCAGUUAAGUUGCUGGAACUUAACUGAUGCAAGUAAGGGCUUCAGUCGUGUUUGCUAAAACAGAGAUGAUAACACUCUUCCUGACUAUAAGAGGAUAGAUCAGUCAGACUGAUAUCAUACGCAGCGGAAAUUAACUAGUUCGCAAUAGCCUGGUGAGCACGUUGUUGGUUUUAGUGCUCUUUGCUGUUAAUCAGUAUUCAGUUUAUCAAUAGAAAUAACACAAGUAUGAAUGUAAAACUGAAAGACUGUAAACAACACAGAGACUUUUACGUGGUUCGGAAAACCUUUCCUACAUCCACGUGUUGGAUCAGACCAACAAUCCACUCCGCAAGUGCUUAACAGGUGCACUGCAAACCAAACCGUGUGCUUGCCGGGUGCACACAACCGUACACUGAAGAAAACCCUUCUUCAGUACCCACGCUUCACUAGCGUCGGAUUUCUCUGCUCAGCACAACCCGUGCUAAGACUUCUCACUCAGAGUCAGAGUACCUUCCUGAACUCUGAACCACUCAAACACUCCUAUGGGGGGGAGGUUUGAACGAGUGCCAACUAUACUUACAAAGAACAAGUUCUUUGAAGCAAGUUUGACCUUUUGGCUUCUGGGUAAACAGAGGUUUGCCUAAGGUCUAAGAGAAUGUGUGUAAUCAGCAGUGACUGAUUUUGGCUUUGGAAUUCUCUUCUUCGAUUCAAGCUUUGGGGAGGUUAAGCUUUAGGCUGAGUAGCAAUUUCGGCAGAGCUUCAGCUUAUGUCGUUGAAUCGGUGAAGGUUGAAGUGAUCCUCGAGCGCUAUUUGUAUGAGAACUCUUGAAUAGAUCCGUUGGCGUAGAUCGUCCUCAAGAUUUCUUCCGUUGGAGAGCAAUUCGAAUUUGGGCUGAGGCUUCAAUCUUCGAGGUUCCUUUUCUGGGUGGAAACGACUCUCUUUGAUGGACUGGAGAUGUGACGUCUCUGAAAAGUAACCACCAGAUAGGAAUGACCUCUGCAGAGAUAAGGAUAUCCUGAGAUCUCUGCAUUUAAUGCGGCUGUACUUGUGAGUACGUGGCUUCCUCUGAACGUUGGAAGAUCAGUCCUAGGAGGAAUGUUCAACUGAUACUUGACUUUAGUAUCAGUCCAUUGCGCGCAUUAAGUAAUCAGUCUUCAACUGAUUCUUCAACUGAUACUUCAGUUGGUAUCUGCAAUCUUCAGUCUUUAGUCCUUCGUUCUUCAGUCUUCAGUCUUCGACACCGCAAAUUAAAUUAGAAACGAACUCUAACACUUGAGUUCAAAACAAUUCUAGUCUAUUACAGUUAAGUCCUAUGAAUUUUGGUAUCAUCAAAAUAAGGGUUAGGAUAUUCCACAAGGUUCCCAACAGUCUUAGCUACCAAACACGCUAAUUAAACACCCCAGACUAUUUGACAAUCAAGGGUAAACGAGCCCACCAAACAUGUCGUUAUCUAUACUAAUAGAAAAGGAGCUUAAGGCAUUUUAAGGCACAACUUGUGGAUUGCCUAUUUUACCCCUAUUACAUAUUUUAUUUUAAAAUUAUUUUACAUAUUAUAUAUUUAUAAGAAUAUAUUAAUUCAUUAGAUAUUACAAUAAAUCUAUGUGAUAUAUUUAUAUAGCUAUUGAUAAGGCUUAUAAAUAAAUAUAUUCAUCCAAUAAAUUAUCUAAUAAAAGCAAUGAAUUAAUAAAUUUUUAAAAUAAUAAAUUAUCAAAUAAAAUAAUAUUAAUUACACGUAUAACGUACGUUCUUUCUGCUAGUUGUAUAAAAUGUGUGUGGAACGGUAAGAAUUAACUAAUAGUAAGAAAUAGUUUUACUAAAUAACAACAUCCUCAAGAGAUCCAAUAUUUUAAUAUAGUUGCAGCAUUUAAACUUCCAUGCCUGAUGUUAAAAGUAUCAUAUUUGAGUUUACUGUAUUUUUAAUUGAAAUGAUGAUCUAUUUGGAGAAUUGCAUAUAGAAAUUACAUAAUUUGAAAUUAGGGUUGACAGCCUAAGGGUGUGUUUGCUUUUUAUCCCUCUAAAUAGAGGGAUAACAAAAAUUUAUGUCUUUAAAUAUCUCAUUUCUUAUCCCAUAUUUUACACAAAAGAGGAGUUCACCAUUUUUCCUUCCUUAUUUUCACUUCAAGGAGGGAUAAUAUUAUCACACCAAAAUGAAGGGAUAAUAUUAUUAUUAUCCCUCCUUGAAGUGAAAAUAAGAAAGAAAAAAUGAUGAACUCCUCUUUUGUGUAAAAUGUGGGAUAAGAAAUGAGACAUUUAAAAGCAUAAAUUUUUGUUAUCUCCCAUUUUUCCAUCCAUCAAAGUGAACGCGCGCACCCUAAAGGGAUGAGAAUAUUAAUUAUUGUGUGCAUGUUCCAAGAAGAGAUCGCAUGUAUAUACAAUAUACAGCAGUUAAGCUCCUAUUUUGGUUCAUAGAAACAACUCGAUCUGGUCUAUUACAAAUUGCCAAUAAAUAAAAAUAAAAAUAAAUAAAUAUAAAGAAGAAGCAAAAGUUGAAAGACAUGAGUUGAAGGCCUCCGUGGGGUGAACUUGAGAAGAAAAUCAAGUAUCCAAAUUAACGCCAACUGCUCUACCUCAUGGAUUGAUAUUCACCCUAUCUCAGGGGCGGUUCUGGAGGGUGCGCGGGGUGGUCGACCGCACAGGGGCCCCGAAAAAAUACGGGGCCCCAAAAAUAUAAUAGAUCCAUAUAUUAUAUAUAUAUAUAUAUAUAAUAAAUAAAGCCUGAUAUAUUAUUGAAUUCUUUAAUGCAGCGCAGUGGUGAAGUGCCUUAGUUUGGUCUUUGUUCACCCGGGUUCGAUUCUUCUUAGAAGCAAAGUGGUGUUUUUUUUUUAUUUUUUUAAAGGUAGAACAGAUUCACCUGAUUUGUAGGCAAAUUUGGCGAGCAGCAUGCCUCUUAUAUGGGCUUAGGGUAUGCUUUGUUGGCCCAACUAACAAACUCUCUUCAGUUCAAGCAGUAGCAGACGAUAUUCACUCUUCUUUUCCAAAAAUUUUCUUUCAUCUUCUUUUUAUUUCAGUGAUUUUUCAAGUCUUGAGAUUAAAGGUAAUUUCGUUGAAACUUUCAAUUAUAUUUUAUACAUUUCAGUUUUUAUUUUUUAUUUCAGUUUUUUAUUUUUAAUAAUUGUUAUUAUUAAUUUUAACUGAUGGAAUUAUAAUUUUGUAUUUAGGUUUGUGUGUUAAUCGUGGACAUACUACGUUUAUCGUAUUCAUAUAAAGAUUACUGGUGCGAUCUUUCCUCUCUAAAUUCUUAUAUAGUUAUAUUGUUUGGUUAUUAUUCUAAUCUUUACUUUGUUUAGUUGUGUACUUGACACCGGUGCUUAAAAUCUUGAGCUUAAUAUGAUUAGAAAAUAUCAAUCUGGAUAUGAAAACUUGCAAGUAGGGCAACACUUUUUAAGUGAAUGACAUAUUUUUUUAUAUAUUUAUUAAAUAAUUUGACAAAAAAAUGUAUUAUUUAAUCAAAUAUUUAUAUAAUAUAUUUUUUUCUCAACUAUAAAUAAAGGGCCCAAAUUUAACAAUUCGCACAAGGCCCACGUUUAGGUAGCCCCGCCCCUGCCCUAUCUAUUUUGGAGAUUAAGUCAUAAUUCUUCAUCUUUGCUGCAAUGAUUUUGGUUGUCACUAUAUUUAUCUCGUUUAUAAAUUUAAACGACUCAAUCGCUUCCGGGAAGGUAUCCAGAUAUGGACGAGCUUAUAUCAAGCCAGCUGAAGCAUUGACUUAUUGUUUCAAAUUUGAAGGGAUGAAAAACAAGUUUGAAAGAUAUCUAAAUACCGCUUUGUGAUUUUUCUUCUUACUCGUCUUGAUCUAGUGUGCAUGUUUUCACAAGAAACAAGGCAAUAUUGACUUACUGAGUUAUUGUUUCUGACAUAAGAUUGUAAUAAACAAGUAAAAGUUGAUCCAAUAUCGAUCCUACCACCAAAACAUAUUAAUAUUUCUUUUAUUACUUGUUAAAAUAUUGAAAGUACAUUUUUACCCUUAUUAAUUGGUGAAUAAAAAUAAAGAGAAAAGAAAUUAUUUUCACUCACCAUCAAUCUCUUCUCAUUCUCUCUCUCUUCUUCAUUCUCAUUUUCUCUCUCUUCCUCCAUUAAUGAACUCAAAGCUUGCGUAUUUUCUUCUUCCUUCAUUCUUUGAUUUUCGUAGGUUGUCUUGGACCGUACAACUGACUUUAAUGUGAUCAGUGGCGGAGCCAGGAAUUAAUUUGGGAGGGGGUUGAACUUACACGGGGGUUCGGGGGCGGUAGCCCCGAGAAUUUUUUUUUGGACAUUCCGUAUAUUUAAGGCAUUAUUUUAUUAAAAGACGAGCAUAAUAGUAAUAAUAAAGAACAACAUUUUCAUAGAUUAUAUAAUUUAAAUAUAUAACAAAUUAGUUUCAAUACAUUACGAAUUUUUUUGAGACAUUCUGUAUUUUUAAAGCAUUUUUUAUUAAAAGACGAGCAUAAUAGUAAUUAUAAAGAACAACAUUUUCAUAUACUAUAUAGUUUCAAUAUAUUACAAAUUAAUUUCAAUACAUUACAAACUUUUUUUUUUGUCAUUUCGUACAUUUUAGGCAUUUUUUUAUUAAUAGACAAGCAUAAUAGCAAUAAUAACGAACAAUAUUUUCAAUAAAUUACAAGCUAGAAUGAAUAAUAAUAAAAGACAAGCAUAGUAAUAAUGGCAAACAAAUUUUUUUUGGGCAUUCCAUCCAUUUUAGGCAUUUUCUAUUAAAAGACAAGCAUAAUAGUGAUAAUAAUGUAUAAUAUUUUUAUAGAUUAUAUAGUUUUAAAUAACUCAAUUGUCCUUAAAUUAAUUAUAAAUGGAAGAAUAUAACAAGCUAAUCAACUUUUGUUAAAACAAAAUUUCUUUUAUAAUAUAAACAUAUAUAUUAAAAAUUAAAAAAAAACUCAAAAUUAUAGGGGGGCUUCAGCCCCCCUGGCUACGCCCCUNUCAUUUCUUAUCUCAAUUUUACACAAAAGAGGAGUUCACCAUUUUUCCUUUUUUAUUUUCACUUAAAGUAGGGAUAAUAUUAUCACACCAAAAUGGAGGGAUAAUAUUAUUAUCCCUCCUUGAAGUGAAAAUAAGAAAGAAAAAAUGAUAAACUCCUCUUUUGUGUAAAAUGUGGGAUAAGAAAUGAGACAUUUAAAGGCAUAAAUUUUUUUUAUCCCCCUUUUUCCAUCCAUCAAAGUGAACGCACCCUAAAGGGAUGAGAAUAUUAAUUAUUGUGUGCAUGUUCCAACAUGUAUAUACAAUAUACAGCAGUUAAGCUCCUAUUUUGGUUCAUAGAAACAACUCGAUCUGGUCUAUUACAAAUUGCCAAUAAAUAAAAAUAAAAAUAAAUAAAUAUAAAGAAGAAGCAAAAGUUGAAAGACAUGAGUUGAAGGCCUCCGUGGGGUGAACUUGAGAAGGAACAGAGUACAAACACAAAACCACCAAAGGAGAAGAAAAUCAAGUAUCCAAAUUAACGCCAACUGCUCUACCUCAUGGAUUGAUAUUCACCAUCGCUAUUUUGGAGAUUGAGUCUGAAUUCUUCAUCUUUGCUGCAAUGCUUUUGGUUGUCACCAUCUUCAUCUCCUUCAUAGAUCGAAACGACCAAAUCACUUCCGAGAGGGUAUCCAGAUAUGGACAAUCAUGGAUUUCUAAUUUCCUGAGCCUAUACUUUGCAUCUUUUCCACAUUGUACAUUUCUCAGAUUCCAUAACUCUUCCAUGCACAUGACUUCGAGCUCGGGAAAGUGUCGUGCAAGAUCACCAUUUGUUGACCAGUGUAUGCAUUCCGCAAUUUGAGGUACUCUAGAUUGGGUAACUUUCCUAGUAGUGGCAUGGGGUCUUCAUCAAGACAGCUAUUAACCAACGUCAAUGAUUUAAGAGAUCGAGGGAGAUUACUUGGUAACCUGGCAAGGAGUCCAUCCAAUUUGAGUUUUUCGAGCCUAUGUAGAAUGCGAAGGUCAUCCAAACAAGGCAUGCUUCUGAAACGAUACCCUUUUAAGAUUAGGUGGUUAAGACGUUCCAAUACAACCAAUGACGCAAAGAGCUUGCUUACAUCUGAGUUUGCAUCCAAUUCUUCUAUGCCCAAUUUCCAAAGACAAAACAACUUUUCAAAGCCCGAGAGCCUACAUGUCCAAUUAUCAACCGAGACGUAGGUUAAGGUCUCCAAAUUCUCCAGCGUGUCAAUCUUGAAAGGCUUCCAGCAAAUCAGAUUUGACAUGUAGAGGUGGCGAAGGCUCUGCAAUUCCCAUAUAAUAUCUGGCACCUCCACCAUAAAGUUUUGAGCUAUGUCAAGAAUCUCAAGCUUUUUCAACCACCCCAACGACUCUGGAAGCUCUUUUAUGUAAUUAUUUCUCAACCCCAAGUAUCUUAAUUCCAUCAAUGUGCCGAUAGAAUCUGGUAAAAACUUCAACCCAAAAUCUUCCAGGUCAAGUAUCUUAAGUUGUUCAAAGCUCUUCCAAUAAGAUGGACUAGCAUCAAAGUAGCCACCUCCAUGGAAGAAGAGAGAAACAAGAAGCUUAUCUUGAUCCGUGGAGUAGUUGAACUUGUCUCUGCUACAAAUGAUAACACGAUGAUGACGAGGACUCUCACAGGGCUGAUUAUUUCCAUUGUUCCUUAGGAUCUCAAAAUCGAACUCCUCCUCUGCUCUUUGGAUGGAUAGCAUGUGUAGCACAACAUUCAUUCGAUACUGCGUGCUCUUGUCUUGGACAUCAAUAACAGAUUCAUCGAUUAAACCAUCUAAAUGUGAUGCAGAUUCAUAUUCUUGUGCUGCUCCUACUACAUUCCAAAUCUGUUUCAGCUUUUCUUUCCUCAAAGUUGUAUUUUCCUUAAAGAAGGCCAUAGACAAGAAACAUGACCUCAGUUUGGGAUCCAACUUAUGAUAAAAUGGUUCCAACAACUUCAAUGUUGAACCAAAAUCAACUGAUUCAAGAAGUUGUUCCCAUUUGCUCUGCCCUGAGACUUUCUUUUCCGCUAACUGUUUUCCCACCUCUUUUAUAGCUAAUGGCAGACCACCACAUUUUCUCAACAUUUGUUUUCCCAUAUCCUCCAAAGACUUUGGGAAUUUGUGGUCACCCGUCAAUUUGUUUAUUGCUUUCAUAAACAAUUGCCAGCUCUUCUUAGCAUCCAAAGGUUCCAUCUUAUAAACAUUUUCAUCAGAUACCUUUAUGUUGACAUGUGUCGCGUGACUUGUGAGUAGCAAUCGACUUCCAGUGUCUGCUUACAUAAGAACAAUACAAAAAGGGAAAGUGAGAAGAUUAUUGAGUCAUAAGUAGACGAAAGAUGAUCAUACAUACAUUCACGUGGAAGAGCUUCCAAGAAAGACGACAAGUGCAUCUGUUUGGGCAGGUCAUCGAGAACUAUAAGAUAUCGCUUCCAUUGCAGGUGUUGGCGAAGCAUAUCUCGGAGGCUUCGGUUGUCCAUAUUCUCCAAUAAGGAAGAUGUAUGGAGAUUCUCAGGAUCUUCUAGCUGUUGUAUUAGUUUGAUAAGUAGCUCUUUCAUAGUGAAGUGAUGAGUAGAAUUAGAUACCCAAGCACGACGCUUGAAUCGCUCAAUGACGGUUGGAUGGUUGUAUAUCUCUCUCGCAAGAGUUGUCUUUCCAAUACCAUCCAUCCCUUUGAUAAGAACAUCCUUCCGGUAUCUUGCCCCAUCAAGAAUCUUUUUGCGAAGCAGCAUUUCCACAUCUUCGUCCAAGCCCACCACAUCUACAGCAUCUUCAACAUAUUCUGAUGAUCUAAUGUUGGAUUCAUCAUCUCCCAGUUUAAGCAUCUGCUUUUUGAUCUCUCCCAUCCAACUAUGGAUGGACAUCAUGGACUCAUAAUCCCCCAAAUUAUAACGUAUCAUGUCUUCAUCGAAAAACUUGAUGGCAUCGUCAGUCAUGUCGACAAGGUCGGAUACUAAAAAAUUGAGGCUUCUUCCCUCUUCCAAUUUCUUAUCCCUCACAAUAUCAACAAUCUCUCUCAUCUCUUCCAUCAUCUUGUCGAAUUGUUUCCGGAAAUAUUCUGAGUUUUGUUUUAAGGAGGAAUUGCCCUUUCGAUAACUAAUAACCAGCUUCUGUAUCAGCGAUAAGAGGAGGGCCUCCGACAUGAUUAUGCUUGGACCAAAUUGCCCUAGCUAAUACCCAAUUUAACAACAUUAGUAGCUAGGAAAUACUCCCUCCGUCUAUGAAUUAAAGCCCUAUUUCAUGUUCGGCACGAAAACUAAUUAAGAAAACUGAUAAAGGUAUUGUGAGUGAAAUAAAAUUGUAGUUGACUAAAGUGAUAAAGGUGUUGUGGGUGGGUCCAUUAGUGAUAAAAUAUAGUAAAUAUAUAAUAUAAAAUUGAUAAAAGUGUUUUAAGGUGGGUCCAUUAGUGACAAAAGGUAAUAAAUAUAAGAAAAAAAUGAGAGUAAAAAGUACAAAAACCACAAUAGGGCUUUAUUUGGUGGACAAAAAUUAAAUGGCAAGUAGAGGCGCUUUAAUUCAUGGACGGACACAUUUCAGCAAAUCCAUAAAUUAUUAGUAUAGAAACAUAAGAUUUCGGAUUGAAUAGAAUUUACUCAAGCGAAAGAAUUUUAUUAUCAUGUGAAUUGAAAACAUCGUAAACACAUGAAUUCUUCAUAUUAAUCUAAUCUAUGGAGAAGGAAAAAGUUACCCUUCUGUGAUUUCUCUUCUUAUCUUUACUCGUGUUGGUCGACUUUCUGAUUCAAUCCUCCAUUCUCAUGAAAUUAGCUCGUCUUUAUCUUCCAAUGAAUCCUUUGUUUUGAUCAAGGGUCAGAAGAUUAUUGAGUCUAGAAUGUUAAGAGGGUGUUAAUUAGGCUGAGCUUAUAAGUUUCUCAAAACAGUUUAUAAGCUCAUUCGAAGUGUUUGGCAAAAUAAGCUCCUAAACAACUUAUAAAUUCCAAAAAGAAACAAUAGGGCCGGAUGGCCCUAUUGAGCUUACAAACUCAAUUUUUAGCCCUCAAUUGAAAAAAAAUUAAAUUUUGGCCAUUUUUUAGGUGGUAUGACUAACUUACCCUUCCAUCUCCAAUCCAUCUCCAACCAAGUAACAGUACGUGUGAUCCAAGCUUCCCUUCUCUCUCUCGCGCGCCCUCUCUUUCGCGCUCUCUCUCUUUCGCGUCAAUGAUGAACGGCAGAAAUCGGUCGUGAUUCCGGCGGCGUGCUUCCCUCCUCUCUCUCUCUUCCGCGUCGAUGAAGAGCAGAAAUCGGUAGAAAUCGCGUAUUCUAAUUCCGGCGACAUGCUUCCCUUCUUCCUCGGCGGCGGCGGUGGAUCUGAUCUGAUGAGGCGGCGACGGUGGAUCUGAUCUGAUCGUUGCGCCGCCUCCUCCAUCGGCAGAUCUGAUCUCCGCCUCCUUCGAUUUCAGCCAUCGACAGAUCUGAUCUGAUCUGAUCUGAUCUGAUCUGUGCUGCACGUAUGGCACUUAUGGCACUAAUAGUGCCAUAAGUGCCAUAAGUGCACACUUCCCCCUAGGGUUUAGAUAUUCCAUUUAGGGUUUAGAUUAUCCAUUUAGGGUUUAGAUGUUCAAUUUAGGGUUUAAAUGAUGUUGUUGUUUCUGUAUUUGUGCUGCACGUAUGGCACUUAUGGCACUAUUAGUGCCAUAAGUGCCCAAAUGACCAUUUUACUUAGUUUUAUUUUGAAUUUCCGUUGGCACUUAUGGCACUAAUAGUGCCAUAAGUGCCUAACCCGACCCGGCACGCGACCCGCGUGCCUGAUCCUACCCGGUCCGCCUCAUUAAGGGCAAAAACGUCCAAAUCAAUAAAAAUGGCCAAAUUUUGUGUUUUUUCAAUGUGUGGCCAUAAAUUGUGUUUUAUGCUUCAUUUUGGCUACUUCAAAAUUUUACUCAAAAGAAAAUAAGCUCCAAGAGCUUACAAGCACUCCAAAAAAUAAGUUCAUCUGCCCCAACUUAUUUUUUUAUAAUCUCAUAUGCAACAAUCAUUUUAUAAAUAUUUUUCAACUAUAAUUUAUUAUUUUCGUCAUAUAUAAUUCAAGUUCAUUUCUCUUCGAUUUUCUCAUUCUAAAAAAAUAUUUUCUCUCUCUAGCAAAAAAAUUAUCUCUCUAGCUUAUAAGAUCAAUUAUCCAAACAACAACCAACAAGCUCUUAAAAAUAACAUCUUAUAAGCUUUCGAAACAUCUUAUAAGCUCCAAAAGCUUAUAAGCUCUUUAAAAUAAGCUUAGCCAAGCAGCACCUUCUAAGUGGGAGUCCAGUGAGCUAAUUGACUAUUGUGAAAUUAUAAUAAAAAAAUUAUACUAGAGAAAUUAAAAAAAUAAAAAUGGGACACACGCUAAAAAGUUACAUAGAAAUUAAUGCCCAAGGCUUCAGGUCCUGAGUUCGAGUCCAUCACCGUGCAAUUUUUAAAUUUUUUUAUCUACUUGUGUAGUUUAUAAAAAAAAUAAAAAAAAAAUCUCCAAUAAAAAAAUUAAUUUGUGAUGACUUAUGUUAUCUCUUUGGGAACAUCCAAAUACCCAAAUUAAAAACUAGAAUAAAAACAAAAUAAAAAUUACCGCUUUGUGAUUCUUCUUCUGACUCGUCUUGAUCUACUUUCCGAAUCUAUCCUCACUUUUCCUUAGCCUUUAGCUUUCAUUUUUAUAUAUAGGAUUCCAAAAGUCUUAUGUUACAAUGGAAAAUAUAAAAAGAUUUGUGGUUGCAUAUUGUUGCGAAGCAAGAACUUCUCAUUUAACUUGAAUUGUUUCUUUUUUAGAUAAUCGAUUUUCACUACGAUAAAUAUAGCCACACACACUUUACACUACAAUCUUUCUCUCUUCAAUGACCGUGUCAAAAAAUAUUAGGUCAAGUAAGAUGAGACAAAUGAUAUAAUUUAUUCAAGCUUCCAAAACUAUUAAUUUUCGACUUAAUAAAAUUUUGUGAAGCGCAAAAAUUAAAAUUUUUGAUAUAGAAACUCCGCAUAAUUAUGGUGAGUUCAUAUUAUUCAGAUCUAGGAAGAGGGAAAAUUACCUCUUUGUGAAUUCUGUUCUUAUCUUUGCUCCUCUCUCCUUAUCUUCUCCUCUGGCUGAAAGUGAUUUGACAAGCUAAAACAGAGCUAAAAUGUAAUGAGCGCCGCCUAAAUCUUGCGCUCACACCAUGCGCGCGGGUCUGGGUCGGGUCGGAUAAAUAUAAAAAAAAACUUUAUCUUUCUUCGCAGGCUCUUCUCUGGCCCUUUCUCUCCGCCGCCCCUCUCUCUCUUCUUCUACUGUCUUCACUCUUCCCUGCGGAUCGCCGCCACCUACUCCAACCGGCGUCCCCACAGUCACCAUCUGCACUACCUUCCACCACAUCACUCAAAAUACCCUCCAAAUACCCCCUUAACUUUCUAGAAACCCUAACGUUUUUCUUGACCUCUCUCUCUCUCUCGAUUGCACACAUGCACAGUCUCGGAGGCUCCGCUCCUUCGCCGUCGUCGAUGAGGACGGCGGUGGCAUCGACGAAGACCCACGUUCCGCGCUCAGGUAAGUCACCCCACCACCGCUGGGCCUACCCCUGUUCGACGCUCCAGCGAAGUCGAAGUGUGUAUGGCGGCGGCUGUUGCUCGACGGCCGUGAAUGGAUGGAGGUGGAUUCGUGCGGCUGUGACUUACAGCAGUGACUCAUCGCGGCGCUGAGUCAGUCGACGUCGGGGCUGGUCUAGGCCAGCGGUGCUGCCGGCAUUACUGCAUAUGGUGGAUCAGCGGUUGGCGGCGAGGUUUGGCGACGCGUUUCAGAUCUGCGGCGUGAAGAGCAGCAGGUGGCGGAUAGCUGAGGCACGACGCGUUUCAGAUCUGCGGCUUGAAAUUUCCUUGGUGAUUUUGGAUUUUGGAUGUCAAAUUGUUCAAAUUCGAUUUACAUUGUUCAUGCUUUGCUGAUUAUUGCGUGGGUCAGAUUCCUCAUCUCCUCAAUGCUGCUUUUGGAAUUUUAUUUCUUGUGGAGAUUUGUAGAAGUAGCAAAUUCAAUGUGUAGUGUAUUAGAUGAGCUGCGUAGCCUGCGUUAAGUUUAUCAGUUGGAUUGAAGUUGGAAAUGUGGCGUGAGCAGCAGUAGUUCCAAUCAACUGCUUCUGUCAUGUAAAAUUACUCUUGUUGAUUGCAGUUUAUUAAGUUUUGCAGAUUGGUUCGAGAGGUCUAAGCUUCGCUAGAUGAAACCUUUAACUUAGUAAAAAACACUUUUAAAAUAUAUAAAUGACACUACUUGUAAGAAUGACACUAUGUUAAUUGUUAAGUGACACUAUUAAUGCAUCAAUGAACACUAUAAUCUUGCAAAUGACAAUUGCUAUAAUUGACACUAUUCAGAUAUACAAAUGAAACUACUUAUAAUAAUUGACACUAUAACAUUGUAAAUGAUAUUUUCUAUAAUUGACACUAUUCGUAAAUAUAAAUGACACUACUUGUCAAGUGGCACUAUUAAUACAUUAAAUUGACACUAUGUGGUUUUGAAAUUGAUACUAUAACAUUUUAAAUGACAUUUAAUAUGACACUUUAAGAUUUAGAAUGACGCUUUAAUAAUUUGAAUGACACUACUAGAUUUCAAAUGACACUAUAACAUUUGAAAUGACACUACAAUAUUUGAAAUGACAAUAUGACACUUAACAUUUCAAAAGAAACUAUAAAAUAUCAAAUGAUACUACUAUAUUUCAAAUGACACUAUAACAUUUCAAAUGACACUACUCCGACAUAAAAAUGACACUACAAGCUUUCAAAAGACACUUUAACAUUUGAAAUGACACUUUAAGAUUUAGAAUAACACUUAGACAUUUCGAAUGACACUACAAGAUUUCAAAAGACACUUUAACAUUUCAAAAGACACUUUAAGAUUUAGAAUGACACUUAAGACAUUUCGAAUGACACUACUAGAUUUCAAAUGACACUAUAACAUUUGAAAUGACACUACAAUAUUUGAAAUGACACUAUAAAAUUUCAAAAAAAACUAAUAAAAUAUCAAAUAAUAUUAUAACAUUUCAAAUGACACUUUAACAUUUUAAAAGAAACUAUAAAAUAUUAAAUGACACUACUAUAUUUCAAAUGACACUAUAACAUUUAAAAUGACACUUUAACAUUUCGAAUGACACUAUAAGAUUUCAAAAGACAUUACAAUAUUUCAAAUGACACUUUAAUGUUUCAAAAGACACUAUAAUAUUUCACACUACUUAAAAAAAAGAAACUACAAAAAAAGAAAGAAACUACAUACUUAAAAGAAAGAAACUACAAAAAAAAAAAACUACAUACUUAAAAGAAAGAAACUACAAGUAUUAUUUUAAUAAAUAAAUUACAUACUUAAAAGAAAGAAACUACAAAAAAAAAACUACAUACUUAAAAGACACUAUAACAUUUCAAAUGACACUAUAACAUUUCAAAUGACAUAUUUAAAAGAAAGAAACUACAAAAAAAANNNNNNNNNNNNNNNNNNNNNNNNNNNNNNNNNNNNNNNNNNNNNNNNNNNNNNNNNNNNNNNNNNNNNNNNNNNNNNNNNNNNNNNNNNNNNNNNNNNNNNNNNNNNNNNNNNNNNNNNNNNNNNNNNNNNNNNNNNNNNNNNNNNNNNNNNNNNNNNNNNNNNNNNNNNNNNNNNNNNNNNNNNNNNNNNNNNNNNNNNNNNNNNNNNNNNNNNNNNNNNNNNNNNNNNNNNNNNNNNNNNNNNNNNNNNNNNNNNNNNNNNNNNNNNNNNNNNNNNNNNNNNNNNNNNNNNNNNNNNNNNNNNNNNNNNNNNNNNNNNNNNNNNNNNNNNNNNNNNNNNNNNNNNNNNNNNNNNNNNNNNNNNNNNNNNNNNNNNNNNNNNNNNNNNNNNNNNNNNNNNNNNNNNNNNNNNNNNNNNNNNNNNNNNNNNNNNNNNNNNNNNNNNNNNNNNNNNNNNNNNNNNNNNNNNNNNNNNNNNNNNNNNNNNNNNNNNNNNNNNNNNNNNNNNNNNNNNNNNNNNNNNNNNNNNNNNNNNNNNNNNNNNNNNNNNNNNNNNNNNNNNNNNNNNNNNNNNNNNNNNNNNNNNNNNNNNNNNNNNNNNNNNNNNNNNNNNNNNNNNNNNNNNNNNNNNNNNNNNNNNNNNNNNNNNNNNNNNNNNNNNNNNNNNNNNNNNNNNNNNNNNNNNNNNNNNNNNNNNNNNNNNNNNNNNNNNNNNNNNNNNNNNNNNNNNNNNNNNNNNNNNNNNNNNNNNNNNNNNNNNNNNNNNNNNNNNNNNNNNNNNNNNNNNNNNNNNNNNNNNNNNNNNNNNNNNNNNNNNNNNNNNNNNNNNNNNNNNNNNNNNNNNNNNNNNNNNNNNNNNNNNNNNNNNNNNNNNNNNNNNNNNNNNNNNNNNNNNNNNNNNNNNNNNNNNNNNNNNNNNNNNNNNNNNNNNNNNNNNNNNNNNNNNNNNNNNNNNNNNNNNNNNNNNNNNNNNNNNNNNNNNNNNNNNNNNNNNNNNNNNNNNNNNNNNNNNNNNNNNNNNNNNNNNNNNNNNNNNNNNNNNNNNNNNNNNNNNNNNNNNNNNNNNNNNNNNNNNNNNNNNNNNNNNNNNNNNNNNNNNNNNNNNNNNNNNNNNNNNNNNNNNNNNNNNNNNNNNNNNNNNNNNNNNNNNNNNNNNNNNNNNNNNNNNNNNNNNNNNNNNNNNNNNNNNNNNNNNNNNNNNNNNNNNNNNNNNNNNNNNNNNNNNNNNNNNNNNNNNNNNNNNNNNNNNNNNNNNNNNNNNNNNNNNNNNNNNNNNNNNNNNNNNNNNNNNNNNNNNNNNNNNNNNNUGUCAUAGUGUCAUUUGAAAUCUUGUAGUGUCCUUUGAAAUGUCAUAGUGUCAUUUGAAAUGUCAUAGUGUUAUUUGAAAUCUCGUAGUGUCAUUCAAUUUUUGAAGUUUCAUUUGAAAUGUCAUAGUGUCAUUUGAAAUCUUGUAGUGUCAUUUGAAAUCUUGUAGUUUCAUUCGAAUGACACUAUAUAUAACAUUUUAAAAUGACACUAUAACAUUUCGAAUGACACUAUAAGAUUUGCAAUGACACUUUUGAACAUUUCGAAUGACACUAUAACAUUUUAAAAUGACACUAUAACAUUUCAAAAGGACACUUUUGAAAUUUGAAACGAAAAAGAAAAAUGAAGAAGAAAAAAACGAAAAAAAAAAGAAAAAGAAGGAGAAAAACACGAAAAAGAAAAAAGGGAAAAUAAAUGGAAGAAAAAAAGAGAAGCAAAAUAAUGGAAAUGCUCCCAGUGAGUUUCGAACAUAGGACCUAUCAAUGGCACAAUAAAUGACACUGCAUAGACAUUGAAAUGACACUGCAUUGCAUAGACAUUUAAAUGACACUGCAUAGACAUUUAAAUGACAUUGCAUUGCAUAGACAUUUAAAUGACACUGCAUAGACAUUUAAAUAACACAAAUAUAUGUUGGAUUCGGGUCUGGGAUCCGACCCGACCCAGAAUCCGCGCGCAUUCUGUGAGCGCACAAUUAUAACGGCGCUCACCUAAGUCCGCCUCGAGUGAAAAUAUCUUAGAACAUGAAAAAAAUUGUUGUCAAUUUGUAUGAAAGUGAGAUUGUGUGAACAGAGUGGAUUCUCAAGUAAAUCCAAAAUUCCAAAUACGUGUUGUUAGAAUUAGAAAGUAUAUUCCAUGCAGCCAGAAUUGUUCCAUUUUUCCUUUUUCGAAAAUAAAUCAUUUACUUAUUUAGAAGUUACAAGCUAAAGCAUUUGACCAAUUCAAACAACGGGCGUAAUCGAAUGAAUUGAGUCGAAUACUAUUAUGUUUAAAUUUGAUUUAUUUGUUAUUGAAUCGAAGGUCAAAUAUUUGUUUUUAUGCGUAAGCUUAAUUGAGUUUUUUUAAAUUUAUAUUUAUAUUCAAAAUAUUAAUUAUUUUUUUAUACUAAAUAUAGUUAAUUAGAGAAUUCGUAUAAGUCUACUACUAAUUACAGUAUACAUUUUCAAGCUAAAUCAAUGAACAAGUUGAUUCACGAGCUCAUGAGCCUCAUAUUAUCCAACUCAGCAAGCUUACUUUAUUUAUUAAGCUCCAUUUAUUUGGAUGGAGAAUAACAGAAAAUAUAUAUUUUCACCAAUUUUUCACUAUUUUUACAUGUUUACUAUGAUAAAUUUUUUUGAACAAAGUGAAAUAUUUUUUUCGACCAGCUCAUUUUCUCUCAAAUGUUGAAAAAUAUUAUCUUUGGGUAUGGGGUGAGAAUAUUUUCCAACAUUUAUUUAUGUUUUCCAUCACUAAUUUUUCAAUAAAAAUUAUGCAACCAAAAUAAACGCACCCUAAAUUUCACUAAACGAGAUUGAAUAUAAGAAUAAUUUGUUAAGUGACUUGAUUUGUUUAUGGUCUUAAUUCAACUAAAAAGAAAUUCAAUGUUUUUAUUUCAAUACAAAUGAUUCAUGGAUAGAGAGGGAAAGAGAGAUUAAUAGUCUAACCAAUGAAAAAUAGAGAAGAAAAAACAACAACCGAAAACAAUGAUCGUUUUUUACUGUUAGGAUUGCAACUAACAUGCACACGAGAUGGUUUCUUCACCUAACCUACACUCGUAGAUUAUUUAAUUCACUUUUAAUGCAUUUUUCAACCUUAAUUAAUUAAGACUGCACGAACAUGUAACAAUGUCGAAUAAUUCACUUGAUUCUUGCUCAUUUGUUUUUGUUUAUUUUUUAGGGAUUUUUUUUUUUUUUGUAAAUUAUUCUUUUGCAAUAUCUUUAAACUAAGAAGGAAACAACGGUUCAAAUAAAUGAUCGAGAACUAUGCAUUGUAAGAAAUUGAGCAAGACCAUGAACGACCUUAUUUGUCGAUUUAUACAUAUAAAAGACAAUAACAAAUUAACGUAUACUUCUGCAUGCAAUUUAUACAUAUGAAAUACAUUAACGAGCAUAUUUUUACGCACAGUAUUCACAACCUCACAUAUGUCACCAAUUAACUCGGCUUCGUCCUUCGUAUCUACCAUCACUCUCAGCCACGAGAAGAGAGAAAUUAAUUUGUAUGUAAAUUGCCUAUUGCUCUGAGACUGUUGUAAAGUAGUGACUGCAAAGCUUGCUUUGGGGUUGUUCUAAUAGCUGGAGGAUCUUGAAGGACUAAGUUGCAAAGUCGCUAUAUCUGUUUUAAAUGAGUCGCAUUACACUUUAUGUCGAGCGACGUCGUUUCUGGCAGAAGGGGGUUUUACGAAUUAGUUAAGAAUAUUGUUUCUCUCCUUCUUCAGUUAGUUAGAGAACUUGAGAGAUUACUUUGCGUGAGUUUCCAGCUGAGAGAUUGGAGUGUGUUAGCUAUUGUAAUUCGAGUUGCGUUUCUUGAGAUUACUCACUGUAACACUGUAACUCCGGCGAAGUCUCCGGCACCAGUAAUAAGAUUUCCUCACCCUCCGUGGACGUAAGCCAUUCUUGGGCUGAACCACGUAACUCUUGUCUUCUUCGAUUUGGUGUAGUUUUUUCUUCGUUUCAAAUUUUGAGUUUUGUUUCACAUUUGGCGCCGUCUGUGGGAAUCGCCAAUCCACGGCGAUGUCUUCGACAAGAUUUGAAGCGGAGAAGUUCAAUGGAAAGAAUGAUUUUUCUUUAUGGAAAAUCAAGAUGAAAGCCCUGCUUAUCCAGCAAGGGCUCGGUGAUGCGCUUAAAGAUAAAUCGGCGGAUCUGAAACCAAAGGAGGAGGACGAGAAGGGCUCAAAGAUGAGUCGUGAAGAGGUGGAUCAGAGAGCUCACAGCGCAAUCAUCUUAUGCCUUAGUGAUCGUGUAUUGCGUGAAGUGUCGAAGGAGGAUACGGCUCUCAAGGUAUGGAAUAAACUGAAUUCUCUCUACAUGGCCAAGACUACUGCAAAUAGAUUGUAUGUAAAACAGCAUCUGUAUCAGUUUAAGAUCUUGGAAGAUAAGGAUUUAAACGAACAAUUGGAUGAUUUUCAAAAAUCCCUAGAUGAUUUGGAAAGUGUAGAUGGGAGUAUGCAGGAUGAAGAUAAGGAAAUUUUAUUAUUGAAUGCUUUGCCCAAAACUUAUGAGCAUCUUAAAGAUGCCAUCCUGUUUGGAAGAGAAAGCAAAAUUACUCUUGAUGAUGUGAUUGGGGUGCUGAAGGCAAAGGCCAUGAGUAAAUCUACUGGAGAAAAAUCAUCCACACAACCUGAAAGCCUUAAUAUCAAGAAAGGAAAGCCAGGAAAAUACAAGAAGGGAAAUGGGCAAAAUAAGAAGGAGAAUCAAAAAAGGGCCAAGCAGACAGAUGGGGAUGAAGUCAAGAAAUGUUUUCAUUGCAACAAACCUGGACACAUCAAGAAGAAUUGCUACUCUUGGAAGAAGAAACAACAACAGCAAAACACUCCUCCAAAUCAAGAUUCUGCAGAUGUGGCAGAAGAAGCUGAGAAUCAUGAAGUAUUAAACAUCAUGAGAUCCUCUGUUGGUGAUUCCUGGAUAUUGGAUUCAGGAUGUUCUUUCCAUAUGUCUCCAAACAAGGAUUGGUUUAUAGAUUUGAAGGAGCAGAGCAUGGGAACUGUUGUGCUGGGAAAUGAUCACAGCUGUUCUGUUAAAGGAAUUGGGAGCAUCAAAGUAAGGAUUCAUGAUAACUCUACAAGGACAUUAACAGAUGUAAGGUACAUACCAGAGAUAAAAAGGAAUCUCAUAUCUCUUGGGAUUCUUGAGAAAAAGGGAUUUAACUUCAAAUCCCAAGCUGGAUCCAUAUUAGUAAUGAAGGGCUCCACUGUACUUCUGAAAGGAACCAGAAGAAAUGGAUUAUACCAUUUGGAUGGAGAGACAAUCAUUGGAGAAUCUGCAGUAGCUACUAAGAUUGACAGCAUGACAUGGCAUGGCAGAUUAGGCCAUGUAAGUGAGAGUGGGAUGAAUCAACUUGCAAAGAAAGGGAUCUUCUCUCAAGGUGGAGUUCUCAAACUUGAGAGAUGUGAGCACUGUACUCUUGCUAAAAGCAAGAAGCUCCCAUAUCCAGAAAGCAAAUACAUGUCAGCACGCCCUUUAGAGUAUGUACAUGCAGAUCUCUGGGGACCUAGCAGAACGCCAACCAUUGGAGGUGGUAGAUAUUUUUUAUCACUAAUAGAUGACUAUUCAAGGAAGCUGUGGUUGUUUGUGAUGAAGUCUAAGGAUGAGACUUUUGAGAAAUUCACAAACUGGAAUAAGUCAGUUGAAGUUGAGAAAGGGUUGAAACUUAAAUGCCUAAGGACAGACAAUGGCCUUGAAUUUCUAUCAAACCAAUUCAAGAGCUAUUGUGAGCAAAAGGGCAUAAAAAGGCACACUACUGUACCUGCAAACCCCCAACAAAAUGGGGUUAUAGAGCGAAUGAACAGGACUGUUUUAGAAAGGAUAAGAUGUAUGCUCUUAUCUUCUGGCCUACCAAGAUCAUUUUGGGGAGAAGCUGCUGUGACAGCUACAUAUCUGAUAAAUAGAUGUUCAUCUUCUGCUAUCAAUCAUGAGAUUCCAGAAGAAAGGUGGACAGGAAGAGCUAUCAGUUAUAACCAUCUCAGAACCUUUGGAUGUUCAGCAUUUGCACAUGUUAAGCAGGAUAAAUUGGAGGCUAGAGCAAAGAGGUGUAUAUUUCUGGGUUAUCCAGAAGGAACUAAAGGUUAUAGACUAUGGUGUCUAGAACCUGAAGAAAGAAAGGUAAUUUUGAGUAGGGAUGUAGUCUUUGAUGAGUCAAAGAUGCCCUACCAAAGGAUAACAAAUGAAGUCAUCAAUCAACCAAAUACUGAUAAAGAAUUGAGAGAUCAUCUGGAGGUGGAGUUUCUAGAUUCUGAUCAGGAUGCUUCACAGUUUGGGGAACCUUCAGAUGACAUUCAGUCAGAGGAAUCAGAAAGUGACAACGCCCAAUCAGAUCAACUCGAGCUCAGUCAAUAUCAAUUAGCAAGAGAUAGGCAGAGAAGGAUUACUCAGCCUCCUAUCAGAUACAGAGAUGAGAGUCUCACAGCUUAUGCUCUCUUGGUUGCCUCAGAGACUUUGUAUUCAGAACCCAGAAAUUACUCAGAGGCUAUAAGAAGUCCAGAUAAGGAUAAAUGGAUACAAGCCAUGGUUGAGGAAUUAGAGUCUCUCAGGAAGAAUCUUACAUGGAUACUAGUUGAAAGACCACUGGACCAGAAGACUGUUGGCUGCAAGUGGAUAUUCAAAAGGAAAAUAGAGAUGAUGGCUGUUGAAAUACUCAGAUUUAAGGCAAGGUUGGUGGCAAAGGGGUUCACACAAAAGGAAGGCAUUGACUACAAUGAGGUGUUUUCUCCUGUAGUCAAGCACAGCUCAAUAAGGAUUCUACUUGCAUUGGUGGCUCAGUUUGAUCUUGAGUUGGAGCAGUUGGAUGUGAAGACUGCCUUCUUACAUGGAGAUUUAGAUGAAACAAUCUUCAUGGAGCAGCCUGAGGGUUUUAUUCUUCCAGAGAACAAGAAUAAAGUAUGCCUACUUAAGAAAAGCUUAUAUGGUUUGAAGCAAAGUAGUAGGCAAUGGUAUCUUAAGUUUGACAACCAUAUGAGGAAGAUUGGAUACUGUAGAUCUCAAUAUGAUAAUUGUGUAUAUGUCAAGAAUGCUGGAAAAGAUACUAUUUCUUUCUUACUUUUGUAUGUAGAUGACAUGUUGGUGGCAAGCAAAAGCAAGAGAGAAAUACAAAUAUUGAAGAAGGAUUUGGAAUCUAUUUUUGAGAUGAAGCAACUGGGUGAUGCUAAGAGAAUCUUAGGGAUGGAUAUAAUCAGGAAUAGAAAGAAAGGAAAGCUAUGGCUGAUACAGAACAGUUAUGCUCAAAAGGUUAUUAGAAGGUUUAAUAUGCAUGAAGCAAAGGUUGUUAGUAUACCAAUGGGACCUCAGUUCAAGCUGUCAGAAAAGCAGAAGCCAAAGGAUGAUAUUGAAAGGAGAAGGAUGGAUAAGAUACCAUAUGCCAAUGCUGUUGGGAGUAUCAUGUACACCAUGGUCUGUACAAGACCUGAUAUGGCUCACUCCAUCAGCGUUUUAAGCAGGUAUAUGGCAGAUCCAGGGCAGUCUCAUUGGGAUGCUAUGAAGUGGAUUAUGAGGUAUCUUAAGGCUACCUCAUCUACUGGAAUUUUGUUUGAGCAAGUAAAGGAUUUUAAAGGAGAUCCAUUAGAAGGUUUUGUGGAUUCAGAUUAUGCUGCAAACGAGGAUAAUAGGAGAUCACAAACAGGUUAUAUCUUCUUAUUAUUUGGUUCUGCAGUAUCAUGGAAGUCAAGUUUGCAAAAUGUUGUUGCAGUUUCCACCACAGAGUCUGAGUAUAUGGCUCUUACAGAAGGCGUGAAAGAAGCUUUGUGGCUCAAAGGUAUUAUGAAAGAAUUUGGGAUAUUGCAAAAGGCUGUGACUGUUUACUGUGAUAGUCAAAGUGCGAUAUGCUUAACAAAGCAUAAUGUUUUUCAUGAGAGAUCUAAGCACAUUGAUGUGAAACAUCACUUUAUCAAGGACAUUAUCAACAAGGGUUUGGUUAAGGUUCAGAAAAUUGGUACUGAAGAUAAUCCAGCAGACAUGCUUACCAAAGUCUUACCAUCUAGCAAGUUUAAACAUUGUGUUAGAUUGGUGAGUUUGGUAUCUGAAGUUGAGCAAUAAGUUGUUUGGGUGCCCUGUGAUGGGGCAUGUUUUGAGGGGAAGGUUUUGAUCUUGUUUACUAUGCUGUUUUGAUCUGUUUUGCUGCUUGCUGCGCUUUUGGUCAAGGUGGAGACUGUUGUAAAGUAGUGACUGCAAAGCUUGCUUUGGGGUUGUUCUAAUAGCUGGAGGAUCUUGAAGGACUAAGUUGCAAAGUCGCUAUAUCUGUUUUAAAUGAGUCGCAUUACACUUUAUGUCGAGCGACGUCGUUUCUGGCAGAAGGGGGUUUUACGAAUUAGUUAAGAAUAUUGUUUCUCUCCUUCUUCAGUUAGUUAGAGAACUUGAGAGAUUACUUUGCGUGAGUUUCCAGCUGAGAGAUUGGAGUGUGUUAGCUAUUGUAAUUCGAGUUGCGUUUCUUGAGAUUACUCACUGUAACACUGUAACUCCGGCGAAGUCUCCGGCACCAGUAAUAAGAUUUCCUCACCCUCCGUGGACGUAAGCCAUUCUUGGGCUGAACCACGUAACUCUUGUCUUCUUCGAUUUGGUGUAGUUUUUUCUUCGUUUCAAAUUUUGAGUUUUGUUUCACAGAGACGAAAUUAAUUAUUGCAAUAAAACGAAAUGAUUUUAUGGUAUUUAUGAUAUGAAUCAAUGAAUGUUAUUAAUUCAUAGAUGUUAUAUAUAUUUUCAAAUAGUUUUUAAAAAUGAAGAUUGAAGUGAAAGUAUAAAAGUAUUCUGGAAUGAGACAUAAGAUUAAAUAACUUGAAGCGACAAUCUAGACCGAUACUUUAAACUUGGUUUAGUUAGCUAUUGAACAAAUUUUGGUUAAACAAAAUCCUUUUGUUCCAUGCAAAUUAUUUUGAUGUAUAACACAUUAAUAUUUGUUUUUUUAGGCUAAAGAUGAGUUUAUUCAUUCAAGUUGGAUUAUACAAUAUUAAGAAGUCAAGACAGGAAGUCUGAUCUCCUCUCAAAUAAAUUUAGUAAAAUUUGCUAGCUCAUAAGUCAUAAGUCAUAAGUUGCUUUGUUAGUUUCCCCUUGUACAUGAUAAAAAUCAAACACCACAUACUUCCUUAUAUGUUCAAAAACUUCCCAAAAUCAUCACUAUUAUGUCUAUAUAUGGUGAAUAAAUCAAUAUUAGGAUUCAAAAGCUUCCCAUAUAGCACCCAAUAUUUGUUAUAUUGGGGAUAUCUUAUUAUUGAUGUCUAUAUAUUGUGAUUCAUGAAGAUAUAUGUCUAUAUAUUGUGAAUAAAUAUAUAUUCGUGUGUAUUCUCCGAGAAUAUUCAAACGAUUUUUUAGCAGUGGAGUAUCAUUUUUAUUCGUAAUUAAAAAAAAAUGCAGGAGUGGGCCUAUAUACAAAAGGCCCAAUAUAAUUAUUCGGGCUUCCAGAAUAGUAGUACAAGUUAUCACGUCGGGCUCAUCGGACCAUAUAAUCAAUUAAAUAUUUAAAAUUAUAUUAAAUCCAACCCUGCAAAAUUACAACAAAAGUCGAAAAUAAUCAGAAUGCUCCUCCAAAUUAUUUUUCCCAAUCCCAAAAGCCAUUGACAAUCAUUUUUUAUUUGUAUGUUAUAAUUAAAUUUGAAGGUUAUGGGGUAAAAUGAUCCACUAUAAGUGGUAUGUAUUCCAUUUUGGAUCGUCUCACUGUAAGUGACCUAUUUUCAUAAAUGGCAAAGUUUAACUCUUACAAAAAGUAUGGACACUACCACUUUUAACAUAUUUACACAUUUUUCUUAAUUCUCGUGCCGAAAAGUUUUGAGCCACUUAUAGUGGGAUGGAGGAAAUAGUAAAUACUAUUAUUUUUUCUUAAACACUCUAUCUGCCUCGUUACAAAUGUCUCAUUAUUUCUGAGCACGGUGAUUAAGAAAUACUAAAUAAUUAGCAAAUAAAGUGAGUUGGUGGAAAGAGAAAAAUAUAUUGAAAUUUAUAAAAGUAAAUAUAGAGAUAGAAUAAGUAGUAGUAGACCCAUUAGUUAAUUAAUUUUUUAAUUAUUUGCUAAAAAUGGAAUGUGACAUUUAUAAUGAAACAUCUCAUUAAGGAAAAUAGGACAUUUGUAAUAGAACGAAUGGAGUAAUGGAUUAUAAUGAAAAAAUGCGAGUUAUGUAUAGAAUUGCCCUUAAAUAUAUGUAGUUUAAAUCAUUUAUCACCAAAAAGCUAUACCCCUUAAGUAUAGUGUUAAUAGCUAUAAAUAUAUAGUGUUUUUUUAGAAGAGCUAUAAAUAUAAGUUAAAGAUAUGUAGUGUUUUUUCGCUGGGUUUUCCUUAAUAAGGCUCGACCUUCGUUUGCGUCUAUGCUUUCGUGGAUUUUGGUUUUUGUUUUGUUCUUUUAAUAAAUUUCUACUUCAGCAACAGCAAACAACAUAUAUAUACUUGCCACUCAAUUAUUUUGAAAAAAGGUUAUACAAAGAGUACUAUAAUUCCUUAUGAAUAAGGCAUACACAAUUUAUAUUCAUUCCUGCAAAAACUUGGAAAAAUCCCCACACAAAAAAUGUGUGUUAAUUCGAAUUACAACAAAACAAACAACAUAAUUAUAACUUGAAAACCUAAACCAAAAAUGUCGAAAAACAAUGCCAAGCAACUCGGAAAAUCAAAAUCUUGCUGUAUAAUUACUCAACCAAAAAAUUAAUUAAUAGAAGGGAGAGAUCACCUCUCUCUCUCUCUCUCUGUUUCUCUCUCUAGGACUAGUCUUCCGCCUUGGCCUCAGACUCCGGCUCAUCCGGAUCCGCCUUGGCCUCCCCAUCCUCUUCACCCGCCGCCUCCCCUUCCUCGGCGGCGGCGGCGUCGGCGGCAGCAGUGGCGGCGGCAGCGGNNNNNNNNNNNNNNNNNNNNNNNNNNNNNNNNNNNNNNNNNNNNNNNNNNNNNNNNNNNNNNNNNNNNNNNNNNNNNNNNNNNNNNNNNNNNNNNNNNNNNNNNNNNNNNNNNNNNNNNNNNNNNNNNNNNNNNNNNNNNNNNNNNNNNNNNNNNNNNNNNNNNNNAUGGCUAGAUAACUCAUUAUUCGAUCAUUGAAUUUUAAAUAGUGGAAUAUUUUUUGGAAGAAAUUACUCUCUCUGACCUAACUAACUUCGUCAAUAUUAUUUUUUGGAUCGUCCCAUCAAAGUUGAACAAUUUUAUGUAGGAAAGAUCUUUAUCACUUUUUCACUUUAUUCAUUCUAUUUACUUUAUUAUAAAGCAUAUUUAAAAUACUAGACACUAACUUUUUAAAUUCUGUGUCAAAAUAAAAUUGAUCAAUUUAGAUGAGACUGGGAGAGUAUGAAAUAAGGAGUUUUAAAUUGAAAAUUGAAGUUAUUUUUCAGAAAAAUAUAAAAAAGAAUUGGAGGUUUGGAAUGAAAAUAAAAAUUAUGCACAUUUAGAGGAUUUAAAAAAAACACUUAUAAUUUGGGCACAAAAAUAAUUAAUUAAAAAAAAUAUUUUUCAUUUCGAGUAUAUGCCGCGAAAAUGAAUUAUAUAUAUAAAUUAAAUUAUUUAAAAUAGGAAAAUGAAAUGGUGGGACCUUCUCAAGCGGAUACACAGUUUUGCCGCAUGCAGGGCAUUUAUCUUGGGUCCCACAGAACACAGAAGAGAGUUUGCUUGGUGCCCUUGUCUGCAUCAAUACAAAUAUUACUAUAAUUUCUCUGAUUAAUUAUUUAUUAGAAAUUCAUCUUUUAUUCCAAAAUCAAACAUUUUGAGGUACUUACCAGAUCCUUGUUCUGAUCAUGUUUUCCUGUGUACACAUUCAUUAGAGACAACAAAAUAAAAUGAUCAAAUCCAUAUAUAAAUAGAAUUUUAAGAAAGGAAUUAAUGCAGUAACUAUAUAUAUAUAUAGAAUUGAAUGAUCACCAGUUUGAAAAUUCUUGCUAAAAUUUCCAGACUCCUUAAAAAGCUGUUCAAAAUGAGUCUUGCAGUAGAGAACUCCAUCCAUGGAAGAGUAGUUGCUCAUCUGCCAUACAAGAUUAAUUAAUUGUGUAAAAUCAUUUACAAAAUUUAACAUAACAUAACAAGUAAAUAUACCACAUAUAAUGUUAUAUUUCGUGAGAAUGAGAAUUAAUAUAAAUAAGUCAAUAAAAUCUCCGAUAAGCUCAAAUCAGACCAUUAAUAAUUCGUGAGAAUUAGAAGGGUGAAAUUUUCAUCAAUUAACUGAAUUACGGCUAUUCGUGCAUUAUAAGCAUCUUAGUUGUUAUUCUAAUUUCUCAUGAAAAAUAACAUUAUCGUUGAAUCUCAACCCUAAAAAAGAUCAUGUAGAUCCCCUAGCUUCUCGUAAUACUGUAAAUCCCCUUAUUCAUGCAUAAUGUUGAACACAAACUUGCAUUUGUGAAUUCAAAUGUGUAUAAUAUGCAUUAACUCCAAAUAUGCAUAUACAAUCUAUAUAUGCAUAUUUGUGUUAAACAUUAUACACAAACCCUAUAUAUAUACACACACACAAAUAUGAAAUAUGGCCUCUCUCUCUCUCACCACAAGAGUGCCUUUGCAGUGGCUGCAUUUGAAGCAUGAUUUAUGAUAAGUUUGUCCAUCAGCAGACAACAAAUCAACGAAAUAAACAGUCUUGUCGCAAGCCCUGCAUUUAUCAAGAGUUCCUGUGAAUGAUGCCAUUUUCUCUCUUCUUUGAAUUGAAGCCUUCAAAUGAACAAAAAAAUCUAAUCCAAAAAGGAAAUCGAAAUAUUUGUCUGACUUAUAAAUAUGGAUAAUUUGUGUCUUGUGUCAGCACAAAUUUGCCACACUUUUUUCAUGCUGUCAAGAUUUAAUCCUAUUAUUGAAGUGACACGUGAUUGGAUAUCCCACUUUUGAAAAUAAUGGAGGAUUAUCAAUGCUGUGAUAAAAAAACAUUCAUGGGAAAUCCGAGUAAAUUGGAGAGAAAAUAGGCUUCAUGUUUUUUGACUCUUUCCAUUAUUACAAACAUGCAGGUGAAUUAAGGGUCCACAUUUUUUUAAUUUUUUUUUAAUUUGAUCGUGGUAGUUAUGUUAGUUACAAACUUACAAAUAGAGUUAAUUAAGAUUAGUUUUCCUGCUCUUUUGUGUGCAAAUGGGACUUAUUUUUCUUUGAAAAUGAAUGAAGAAGUUGUGGUUGAUUAAAUUUAGAUCUAUAUAUAUGUGUAUAUAUAUCUCAUUUAUUCAAAAUUUAUUUACUUCAAUUCAAGAUAUUUAAACUAGCUAGAUUAAUAAUAUAGCUACAAGGUAAAUUUGAUAUAGAAUGUAAUCCAAUUUUGACAUCAAAUUCAUUUUUCAUGAUAGAUGAUAUUUAUAGAAUCAAAAUGUUGAGAUGCUAAAAGCCUAAAAUUAACUAUCUACGAAAUAAAUACAUUAACUAAGGGGGGUGUAUUCGUUGUGGAUUUCCACAGACUUUAAAAAGUCCAUGGAAUUCACAUAGAUUCCAGACGACUUUCAAAGAAUUUGUGGUUGGAUUUCACCUCGAUUUUCACUGAUUUUCGAAGACUUUACGGGAUAAUUUUGGAAUUGAAUUCCAUGAAACCAACGCCCGCUAGAAGAGACCCAGCGCCCGCGGUGUCCCAGCACCGCUGGAAACCCAGCGACCGCUGAGUUCCAGCAAGCAUUUAUGAUGUAAGAAAAUCAAUAAUACAAAAGAAAGGGACAGGGCAAUACACCUCGGGUUGCAUACAUAAUUGCAGAAGUAGGAUUCAACAUGAUAGCCCUGGUGAGGCUCUCGAUAGCUUCAUCAUGUUUGCCUAUAUAAUAAAAAGAAAGUUAGUAAAGGGCAUAAAGUAGUUAGUAAUACAUACCAAAAAUAAUGUUAGUACCUUCAGAAAUUGCUUCAAUUGCCUGCAUUUUAGCCUCCUGAGAAGCAUCCCUGUUUUCCUCGGUGACCUCAACUGAGGGGUCACCCAUCUAAAGAAUUUUAUCAUUAAAACACUCGUUUUACUACAAGAAACAUCACAGAAACGAAGUAUUUAAGAAAAUUGGUGGCAAUAUGAGAUUGUGCAGACCUUCUGCGGAGGAUCAUUGUCAGGCUCCACGACAUCAGAAUCAUCGAGUUCAAUAUCGGAUUCAACUAUCUCAGGCUCAUCUUCUUCCUGAGGUGGCUGAGUUUCAUCCUCAAUGAGAUAAUACACGAACACAUUCCACUUGACAAAUAAUACCUCUCAACGUAUUCCCGGAAAAAAUAGAGAGAUGGAUCGGAGAGCAUGGACGGAUUUACCUUGCACUGUUCGAUGAAUUGCUUCAGCUGAUUCAGCUUUGAUGCAUCCAUUACUGAACUACUUUGUGCAGCUACUUGAAUAAAAAUUAGUUUUAGUGUGUAGAAAUUGAGAGGGGGUGGGAGUCUCAACGAUUGCUGAGUUCCAGCGCUCGCUGGCUUCUUGGCCGUGGGCGCUGGAACUCAGCGCUCGCUUAAAACUUCAUGGAUUUCAAUUCUCGUGGUUCUUGGCCGGAUUUCGUCGUGUGUAUUUUUUGGAUGAAAUCCAUGAAAGUCAUUCUGGAUUUUAAGUUAAUGGAAUAACGAAUACACCUAGAUUUGUAUGGAUUUUAAAAAGCCUUGAACGAAUACACCCAGAUUUAUAUGGACUUUUAAAAGUCUUGAACGAAUACACCGAGAUUUCUGCAGACUUUUAAAAGUCUUGAACGAAUACACCCAGACUUUUAAAAUUCAUAGAAAUCCAUCAAAUUCCACAACGAAUACACCCCCCUAAAUUUGAUAUAGAUUUUAAUCCAAUUUUGACAUCAAUUUCAUUUUUGAUGAUAGGUGAUAUUUAUAGAUUAUAUAAAGUGUUAAUAGGAGGAAUAUUUGCCAAUAAUGUGGGGAUCAUGCCAAUGAGGCCUAGCUCAAGUGGCAAAGUCGAGAUACCCAAAAAUUCUCAUUUAUGAGAGGUUUUGGGUUCGAUCUUAUCUGCGUGUGGUGUAAUUUUCUCACUUUUGUGUGGGUAGUGUUCAUGUAGUUUUUCCACUUUUAUGUAGAUAGUGUUCCCACCUUUGUGUGAGUAGUGAUUCCGCCUGCGUAUGAUUAUUUUUUCACCUUUGUGUGGUGUAGAAUUUAUUAAUACGUGACAAUCACAUUGAAUAUCAUAAACAAAUUGACGCAUGUCAGUUUAACUAAAGUAAUUGAAACGCGGAUACAAAUAGUUAUCGUUUUGUAAACUAUAUAAAUACGGAAGAGGAGUUUUUUCCCCCAUUUUUUUUCCAUUAUUUUUUUUCUCUCUUCUUCCAUCAAUUUUUUUACUACUUUCAUCUCUAUUUUUUAUAUAAUUUAAAUAUUUUUUAAAUAUUGUCAAACUUGAUUUAUGAAGAAAUAUUUAAUAUGCAUUUUAGAUAUAAGUUAGUGACAAAAUGUUUGAUAUGAUAUAAAAAUCAUUAAAAAUGAAUUCAAAACGAAUAAGUUGUAAAAGCUUUAAAAUAUUUUAUUUUCUCUCACUUUGUUAAAAUUUUACAACUUUAUAUUUAUAUUUGUGUAUAAAAUAUUUAUUUUAUUUAUUAUAACGUGUAAUUCUCUAUAAUAAAAAUAUUUAUUUAUUUUAUAUAAAGUUGAAAAUUUGCAUUUUUAAAUUCAGAAUUUUAUUGAAUUUUUUAUGUGAAUUAUUUUAUUUUAUUUUUAAAACAUAUUUUACAUUUAUUUAUAUUUUAAUUCUAUUUAAUAUUUAUACUUAUUUAUUUAAAAAUAUCGAUUAAUUUCGAUAUUUACCGUGGAUGAGCAUACUAGUUAGGAUAUAAACAGUCAAUUUACGAGGCUUGUAAAAUAUAGAGGGAAAAGGUGCAGAUUAGCCCCCGAAGUGGUAGCCCCUAUAGCGUAUAACCCCCCUUACUCACUGUGUGUGCAACUAAACCCCCGAACUCAAAAAAACGGCUCAAUUAAACCCCUCUGACCAAACGGUGUUAUCCCACCGUUAGUCAACCAUAUUUUGAUAUUUUUUUAAUUAAAUUAUGGGGCCCACCUUUUAUCUCAUCUCUCUCAUUGUUAUCUCAUCUCUCUCGCUCAGCUCUCUCUCCCUCGGUCAGUCCACCGCCGCCGCCACCUUCCACCACCAUCAGCCGCCGCCACGAGAGCUUUUUAUCACGCACAGCUGCUGCGGUUGCGUUGUGGAGGAGCUGUUGCGGUUGCGUCAUUCAGCUGCUGCAAGGACGGCAGGAAAAGGGUCGGAAGAUUUAGGAAUCAAAUUCCUAGGGCUCAAACUAUUUGCUGGCGAAAGACUCAGCGAAAUGGACCUCGUCGGAGAGCCCGUAGCCGAUCCGGAAGCAGAAGAAGAGUAAGUUGAGGAGAACUCUUUGUCUUCAUUAUCUCUGCUAGACGCCACGUCAGCAUUGUUCCGAUAACUCCGCCUGGAACUCUGCUGCGCAUUAAAUGGAAGCAACGGGCGGAGCACCGGGGAGUCCAUUUACCUCGGAUUUGAAGUGCGGUUGUCGCCAGGGGCGCUACUGCUUCCAUUGCAGUUAAUGUCGCCGCUCGUAGCGGCGGCGUGUGAAUUGACCAAAGUGCCGAGGUACAGGAACUCUAAGCUGGUCUGCGAAGGUCUCUGAAGCUUGAGAAUGUGGUGGUUAUCAGGAGAGGCGCGGAAUGUGGUGGUGGAGCUGUCGGAUCUCUGCGAUUUAGCGUGAUCGUGAGCGGACGAUCUCUCGAUUAUCCUGCUGUUGCAAAAGUGAAUGAAAACGGCGAGAGCGAGGAUGACGAUGGUGGCGGCAACAGCAACGGCGAUGAGCUUGGAGGAGACCAAUUUGGAUUUGGAUUUGGAGUGGGGGAGGUUGAGGGAGGUGAUGUUGGCGGGGAAGGAAGCGAGGGAGGCCGGGGAAGGGGGCGGUGGGGAAGAGGGAUCAGAUGGGAACAAUGGGGUGAAAGAACGGUGAUGGUGGGCCCCACUUUUCAAUCAAAAAAAAAGUUUGACCAACGGUGGGAUAACACCGUUUGGUCAGAGGGCUUAAUUGAGUCGUUUUUUUGAGUUUGGGGGUUUAGUUGCACAUACAGUGAGUAAGAGGGGUUAUACGCUAUAGGAGCUACCACUUCGAAGGCGAAUCUACGCCUUUUCCCAAAUAUAAAUUAUAAACCCUAUUUACCUCGAUACAAAAUACUAUACAUUUCUUACCCUUCUUUCUUUGGUCAAUAUCACAAAGCAGUCCUUCAAAGAAAUAACAUAAAGCGACCUCAUAUGUAUACUAGUUGUUUAAGAAAUUAAAGUUACACAGAACUAAAAAAAAAACAAAAACAAAAACGAGGUCUCUUAAUGGAUAAAGAGAGAAACUUAUUUAGAUGUUCUUUAAUUAUAUUUGAAACACUGAUUAAAAAAAAAAGUAAUAUUUGAAACAAGUUUUGGUAACUACUUUAGUAUGAAAAGAGGUUGUCCAAAUAGCUUGCCAUUGACGGCACUAAUAACAAUGUUGUCACCAUGUAAAGAUGGGCAGGCCACGUUGAGAGGGACACCAUUUUGCAUCUUGCUUGGAUUUCCAAAUAAUCCAUUCCUGCCCCAUAUUAACAAACUAAAUUAACCCCACUAUCAAUUAUACAAUUUUCAAGAAUCGAGAUUUCUUUUUUCCCCCCUCAUAACAUAAGAAUACAAGAAUCGAGAUUUCUUUUAUUUAUUUUUUUUCUCCUCAAUAGUGCUAUUUGGACAAAAUUUAUUCAAAUAAAAAAAGAUUAAAAACUUUUACAAAUCAAUUUAUUUAUAAAGUUUGGUUCAAAUUUAAAAAAGAUUUAAUUAAUUUAAUUAUUUUCUCCACAUUGUAGUUUCUUUUUUGUAAUUUUUUAACAAUUUUUUCAUUUUCUGUUAUUUUUUUGUGAUUUUUGUACUUUAACAAUAAUAAAAAUUAAAAAAGUUAUUAAACAAAUUACAAUAUAGAGAAAACAAUAAAACUAGCUAAAUUAAAAUGUCUCAUUCGGCCUUGUUUAUCAAUGUCACAUGACUCACAUGUCACAUCAGUUUAAUAUAGUUAAACCAAAAGCAAAUUACAUAUUGGAAAUACAAACAUUAUAGUUCCAAAUCCCUCAAAGAGAGAUAAUUGUCUCAUAAACUAAUCAAAUAGAAAAAAAAAACUUGAUUUAUU
rnacentral:lncRNA from 1 species